rnacentral:lncRNA from 1 species
GCAGCACGCGCGGCGGCGGCGCGACACGGCCUGCCACGCCAGGUACGCCACGGCGUGUGCCAGCAGGAGGACGGUAAGCAGGGCCAGCAUCUCCAUGGGCGGGGCCGGUGGUGGUGGUGGUGGGUCGGUCACAAUAAGUGAGUGACACACACAGAGCAGGAGUAGUGUGGCAACAAGGUGGCUGGAUCAGCUAGCUUGGCAGGCAGCAGGUGUAGUGUGUGGCGUGUUAUAUAGAAGCUGGGGCUGGGACUGGGACUGCCAGUACGUACGCGCCGUGGGUCGUAAGCUGUUGGGUAUCUAUAUACACUACACACACGCAUGCAUGUACGCAUCAGCAACACAUGGCUGCCUUCUUCCCUGGCCGGGGUAUUUAGGGGCUGUUUGGUUGCUAGCCACAAUUUGCCACGCUUUACCUUAGGUAAAUUUGACCAAGUUGGCAAGUGUUUGGUUGACAACAAAGCUUAGGCAUGAUUCUUUUAGGCUCCACAUGUCAUAGAGUUAAAAAUUAUGGCAAGACAUGGCAAAGUGUGGCAACCAAUUUGCUAGCCACACUUUUGUAUCUUGCCACACUUUUUGUGUAAAGUUAGUUGUGGUAGAUUGUGGCUACCAACCAAACAUCCCGAUUGGGAGGAGGUUAAUACGGUGGCCGUAGCCUCCAACGGCCAACUACUGGCUUGCUUUGCUUAUCUCAGUCGUUAGGCAGCGCGACCGUGAGUGGCUUCUCUCAGAGCUGCGCCUGUGCCUAACUGUACGUCGCUUCAGAAAGCAGCAGCAUGCUCACCAAGGCACCACCACUUUUUGAUAAAUGAAUUAUUUAAAUAAUACAUUCGAAACAAAAAGAAAAUUAUGGUAUUUCGAAUGUGUGAGAAGAGCUGCUGGUCGAGAUGUGCCAUUUUGUCUGCAUACAAUAAGAGUGAUUUGCCGGGGUAAGUCGAGAAGCUUUCGGAUGAGUUUAAUUUGUUUUGAGCUAGGGGGAUCCGAAUUCUCCUACGUUCCGAUUUAACUAGCUCACUGAAUUCUCAAAACUAAAACUAGAAUUUUUUUUAGGAUCUAUGUUCCGAUUGUUCUUACUCUCUCAAGUCUUGAGGUUUUCUCUCUCAUUAUCAGGUUUUUUUUGUAGCCCCAUCGUUCAUCCUUGCUAUUUGGUUGCAAUUCUGCUAAUGUUUUUUAGGGCAAUAUCACGCUAGGACAUGUUUGGACAUCUUUAGGGUGAGAUCCUUGUCGAGCACCUUCUGUUUGAGUUUGUUUUUUUUUCUAAAAAAUCUUUUUUUUGGAUGAAUUUUUUCUAAAAAUCUUCUUAGUGUUUUUGGUCAAAAUUGAGAAAUUUAUGGUGAGACCUUCAUCUUUUUUUUGGCAUGGUCUUCUGGUCAAAGAUUUACCUUGUUUUGGAGAACCUACAACUAAGGAAUUUUUGGAUUUAUAGUUUAGCCUAGGAGGAUGUGACCUACAACAGGGGAGAGAGGGUGUAGAGGGUCACCAAUUUUAACCUAGGGCUCAAACUUGAUUCUCCACUAUAUAAAUAUCUAGCAAUGUAUGCACCUAUAGAGGGUUAUCUAGUGUUUCUACUAACCCAUCCACAUAGAGUUUUGCAAUCCACUAUCAAUCCUAUUAUCUAGCCCUCUAAGAAACUUAGAAGCCACACAAAUAACUUCGAAUCAGUUGUUUCGGUUGCAGCUGCACCUAGUGCUAUAUGUGUGUGUAGCAGCUGUAGAAACAGAUGCCACUCUAGAGAUCAAGCAAAGAAAAGGGAAGAACUCCCGAGCCAAGAUGAAAAUAUUUAUCCCAACGGUAUCGGUAUUCGGUAAUGUAGUCACCCCAGUCCAUGUUGGUAUUCAUGAUCCACUCCAGUAAGCUUUUUUCCACACCUAUAGAACCCGUUCUAGUCCUACAUUUUUUUCUAUAUAGACCGAGGAGAAAGGGGGGCUUUUCAUCUGGCCUUGUUUGUUUGGCUGAUAAGUCAUGACAGAAAAUACAAUUGGCUAAUUUUUUUUGUGAGAGAAAAACAUUGUUUAAUGGCUGACAGAUUCGGUUGAUUUUUUUCCCCUUCAGAUUUGCAAAGCUCUAGCUUAAAGAAAAUUCAUUUAUACGAUUACCAUAAUUGUUCCACCUGAAAGUGGUUUGUUAACUGCACCUAGGUAUAGAAAUUAGAAAAUAUGAUCUACCCCAUAUAUACUUUGGCCUGAUGGAAGGGGACGGGCUAGCGUGGUAGCCGUGCCAUGCCCCAUGCAUGCAUGCAUCACGGUGGCCAUGAAUACAACGCGGGGUGGUGCGGCCGAGCUGCACGCACACACGCUCUCCGUGAUCGAAAGGAGUUGAACAUGAAGGGACCAAUGGAUCUCCUGGAUCAAGCCUGUCUCUCUCUACUGCUUUACACUGUUUUUUGUAUUGUACCCGCCUCUUUUGUGAUUCAUUUUUAGCUUUUACGGGGAUCACGAUCUAUCGGCCGAGCGGCCGACGGUCGAUCACGUACUGGAUCGGGGAUCCACCGUACUGAUCUUUUUGUAUUUAUACAACGCGCUAAAUCUAUAUCACUUUAAUGUUAGAGGUUAGUUUUAUUUUUGAGAGACCAAAGGGAGUGCAAUAUAUAAGCAAUUGAGAGGAUAUGUAAAAAUAACAAUUUUGAUUAGUCGAGUAGAAGUUAAUUUUAGACCCCGUUUGGCACGACUUCAUUUCAAAAGUGAGCUGUUUUUUUGUUUUAGCUCUACGAACUGCUCUUCCAGUGGAACUAAAGCUAUUUUAGCAUCACGUUUGACAAAACACAGCUCCUUAUAAUAGGCAAAAAGAAUGAAAAAUGCAUACGGAAUGAGCGAGCAACGGAGUUCUCCGCACAGAAGGGUGGAUGUCACCGUAGGAGUGAACUCUGCACUAGAAGAUGAGGCGAUCAUAGGCCUCGUUUAGUUCAUUCCGAAAUCCAAAAAGUUUUCAAGAUUUCCUGUCACAUCGAAUCUUGCGGCACAUGCAUGAAGCAUUAAAUAUAGACAAAAAUAAAAACUAAUCACACAGUUUGACUAUAAAUCAUGAGAUAAAUCUUUUGAGCCUAGUUAGUUCAUAAUUAGAUAACAUUUGUUAAAUAAAAACAAAAAUGCUACAGUGUCGAGAUCCAAUAUUUUUUCGGAACUAAACAAGGCCAUAGCUUUUCAACAAACUCACCACAUAGUUGUCUGCACGAGAUCCAAUACAAGAUCAACAGCACUAUCUUUCUCCCUUUUCUCCGCGCAACCUGAUCCCGGCGACUCCCUAUCCGCUUUGCCAAAUUGGCUCCUCCUAGCCAAAUAGAGCCAUAUAUAAUGGUUAUGUCUUGAAAAUGAGGGACAAAAAUAUUUCAUCCUACUACUUUUUCUCGGAACUAAACACGAAGUGUAUGCAUAACAAAACUUUUGUUAAGGACAGCUGAGAACGUGGUCUCAACCACAUACAGCACUACACCGACUGUGCGGUACUGCAGAACAUCUCCAAGAGUUUGACAAUUUUCACUUGGCAAAUCUUGUGUUUUACUAAGUUGCCAAAAAUUUGCCAAGUUAAAAUAAAGCCUCUCUCCAACAGUUUCCUAGUUUUGACUUGGCAAAACUAAAAAGAGAAGGCCCACCAAACUUUGUUUGUUGACCGGUAUCUGGAGAGGCCGAGCGAUCCAACUUCCUAUCAUAGCAUGAACGCCGCUGUCGCCCUGGAGGUCGUGACUGUUCCACUUCUCUGCCACGGGACGAGUGAUCUCCUCUCCCUACUCCACCAGCCAAGCCAAAUCCAAUAGAAGCCGGACAAAUCCAACAGAAGCCGCCAACUCCUCCUCCCUGUGCCGUCAUCUGGGCAUGGAGAUUGAUCUAGGCAGGUUGUUCAUCUGGGUAUGGAGGUUGAUGGGAGAUAGAGGAAUGACGUACCUCAAACUCGAGCCGGGGUCUGCACGAGAGGGAGGCCGGUCAGCAACGUGGCAAGGUCCUGUCUUUGGCGGCGUGGCUGCUGAUCGCCGGGAUGGGAGGUGGCGCGGUGAAGAUCUAUCGCAAGGAGUGGGGGCACGCGAAUAUAUCGCGACAAAGACGGCCUUGGCACGGGAAGGAGGGGGGAAAUUCCUGCCGCGCGCGGGAAGGAAAGGCAACGCCGAUGUGGAGUAGAGUUAGCGAGUUUGAGCUUCAACUUUUAAUUUCGUGGGAUGUGACUAAUGUGUAUGAGUGUAUCAUAACAUGCCAAAGUUUUAACAGGUUUUGAUCUUUAAUUCUUUUAUGAAUUAUUUUUGUAAAGUUGUAAAUACUAGUGGGGGAGCCUUUAUAAUACGACGUACGUCCAGUCGUCCACAGCUGGAAUUCCGGCAUUUCGUCUUCGAUACAUAGGAUAGGAUCGGACGUGGAAAUCUGGUGCAGAUCAGUCCGCGACUACGUACGUCGAAAUCCGGACUUUCCGAGUGGUCAGGGAUGAAAAUGGUUUGAUAAGAAUGGUUCAAAUUACGAAUAUUAACUAUAUUAUAUAACAUAUAAUUGAAUAUUGAUAUUAUAAAUAUAUAAUUUAAGUAUUUACCUAUUUGGAUAUGAAUACGUUAUUAGAUGUUGAAUAUUCAGACUUGAAUAUGAACCAUUUAAAUAAAUUUAGUGUUAGAAAAUAUUCGUACUAUUUUUAUUAUUUGAUAUAUAGAGAGAAACUGACCAACAGCAGGUGCGACGUAAUUGAUAUAACUGUCCUGUGUCCUUGUCGAAAUUGACGGUACAAUCAUUAAUCUCUAGCUAUCUUAUCGCAGAGACCUGUUCGUCCCGGUACGUUCUCCUAGCUAUAGGGCCAUCAAGAGUACUCCAUGCAAAUGCAUGCAUCAUCAUCAAUAAGAGCAACCACAAUAUAUAUAGACUAAGUAGUCUAUAUGAGCAGCUUUGUGUCAGUAGACAAUAGCUAUUGCUGUCUCCACAAUGUGUCAGCCAACAACUAGUCCAUAAGGUGGGUCCCAUAUAAGAUAAAUAAUUAUUUCUCUUUACAAUCCUGUGCAAAGCCGAGAGAGAGGGAGGAGUGAGAAAAAAUAACAUUUUUUUAAUCUUUAUGGGUAGUCCAUAAGCUUAUGGGUACCUUUUGCUAUGGACUCCUCUAUGGACUAGUCUCACAAUGUUUCAGUUACCUGAUAGCAAAUAUUUUAAUUCUAUGAACUACCUUAUGGCACACAUUGUGGUUGCUCUUAGGAAAGUUAUAUUUGACUUUUUUUUUUACAAAAUAUUUGACCGAUUCACCGAUGCAUCAACCAUAUGCAUGGAGAGAGUUGCUAGCUGGGCCAUGGAGAGUAGUAGUAGUAUACUAGCUAGCUAGAUGGCCAUUCAACGAAUUAAUACGAACUGUGUGCGCCAACUGUUUAACGAUACCGGGCCUCUUUUAGUUCUGAAAAAUUUUGGAAAAUUGACACGGUUGCACUUUCGUUUGUAUUUGACAAAUAUUGUUCAAUCAUAGACUAACUAGGCUCAAAAGAUUCGUCUCGUCAAUUUCGACCAAACUGUACAAUUAGUUUUUAUUUCCGUCUAUAUUUAAUACUUCAUAUAUGCGUUUAAAAAUUUGAUGUGACGGAAAAUGUGAAAAAAAUUGUAAAAUUUUUCUGGGAAGUAAACAAGGCCCUAAUUAUAAUCACGAGUCUCUGUGUGCAUGCAUACGGAUACUGCUGGCUAAUAAUAACCCAUAUUUUAAAUAGCGAGCUAACGUCAAGGUGUUUAGUGUUUUAUAAAUCAUAAUUAGCGUACUUUAGCGGUAAAAUUGUGCAUGAACGUAAAUAGCGGCACAAUUUUUUUCAAGCUAUUUCGGACUAUAGCGACAAAAAUAGCGGGCUAUUUUUUUCUAUGAUAAUAACCGAUCGAUCGACAAAAAGAUUUGUUAUGAACUCGAUCGAUCAGACAUCAGACUAAUAGAGUAGUCCCGAUCGACAACGGAUGGUGGAUCGACAAGGAGGAGGCAAUGCAAGUCGCAAGCUAAGUUUGGCCGCUCAUUUCGUGUACCGGAAAGCGCUAAGCUGCUUUAUCACCUCACGAGGAAAUUUGAUGUGCACUUGCAUUUCAUCAUCGUCAUUAUAUUCAUCAGAUCCCCAGAUCGAUCUCCAUCCUCAUCCUCUCCUGCCAAUAAUGCAUGCAACAACGUACAGAUCACUGUUUGUUUGGCAACGAGGAGAGGAGAGGGAGAUGAACAUGUGACUGUUGACUGGUGAGGGCGGAGGUGUGACCAUGCGUAGCUGACCUGGCGGGGAGGCCGGUAGGUAUGAACUGACCUAAGCUUACCUGUCGCCUGUCGGCAUGCGCAUACUGGCAGCCGGCCGGUGCCGAUGGAGGCCAACCGGAACUUUGCUUUCUUCGCUGCAUAAAUGCCCGCUGUGCCAGGUGGCCAACAGUCGCCCUAUUCAUCGCUAGUAUUUGAUUUGACUAAAUUUGUAAAAAUUUUAGGAUAAAUUAAAUCUUCAUUAAACACUAAAUAUAGAUAAAAAAAAUAACUAAUUGUAUAGUUUGACUGUCAUUUACAAGAUGAACUUUUUAAACUCUAAUUAGCCUAUAAUUAGAUAAUACUAGCAAAAAUGCCCGUGCGUUGCAACGGGAGAAAAGAAAACUAUCAAAUCUAUAUCUAUAUCUCUAUUACCUAAUUGUAUAUAUAUCUAUACCUACCUAAUAAUAAAGAGGCAAAAUUUUAGGCUCUUUUUUUCGUCCAUCUUUUUUUUUGUCUAUUUUCCUCUAACUACCGAACGAUAGAGAGUUUCUUUUAUUUCAACUAAUAUAUAACUCGUGCUUAUACGAGUUAAAAUAACUUGAGUCUAAACUAAUAUAUGGAAUAAGAGUCUUAAUAUAGGUCAGACCCACAUCUACUUCAUGAGCGUACCUCAAGUCUGAACAUUUCUAUUUUAUUGAUUCUACAGUCAAUAAACACAUCCAAACAUAAGCCUAAACUAAUAGGGCUUUCGGAUUUUUCAGCAUACCUUUGACAUACAAGGGCAUUUCAGCAGGGAAAGCUUCCCAUUGGCCCGGUAAUUCUUCUUAUGUGCUUCAUUCUCAUUCAUCAGCUUCACCAUCUUAAGAAAGGCGCUCUUCAGCACCUUUGGGUCCACCCCCGUCUCCUCCACCUUCACCUGCUUCGCAGCACGCAUCUCAGACUUCUGUUGCUGCUUGCUUCUGGAGGACUCCCUGGGCACACCACUAUUAACCUGAUUCUCCCACUUCCGCUUCGGGACAGGCACUGGAAGCAGCCCGGUAGUGGACAGGAGUGCGGGCAUGGGUGGCGGACCACCGCUCGAGGGGUGGGCGCGGCAGGGGCAGCUGGGACGGGGGCGGCGCCAAGAGGUGCGCGGGUAUCGGCAGCGGCGGCGGCUGGUGUUGCUGCGGGCUCGUGUGGGAGAGCGAAGUAGGUGCACAUGGUACCGCCGGGUAAAAAAAAGACAACACUACACCGAGACGGAGACGGAGACGGUCGGUAAAAAAAGUUGGCGUGGGUGACGGACAGAAACGGAUUGGCAGACUGAAAUUUUCAUGAUUAAGUAUUAGAGAAAGAUUAGGAUUUCUAUAAAAUAUGAUAUAUCAGUUAAAUGUAUGUAGAUUAUAAACACAUGAACUUAUAAAGUGUUCACAUAACAUAACAACACAUAAUGCAAAGGUAGUGUAAGCAUCCUCAAGCAUAAAUUUAGUUAAAUUAGUAAAUCAGUGAGAUAUACAGGAAUUAUGCUAAAACUUUUACCAUAAAUCAAGCAUCACAUUAAAUAGGCUAUUAUAAAAUUUUCAUAAUAAUUGGAGCAAGAUAACUACAAUUUUAGUUUUACACUAAAAAGCAUAGGCAAGCAUCUACCAACAGAAAAAUAUACUAAAAUUUAUGAUUUUUUUGUUUACUAUAUGGAUCUAAAUAUGUGGAGCUGAACAAAAUUUAUUUUGUAAUUUUUAGAUUUUUCUAUGAAUUACUAUAUAUAUUUAUUAAUGUUAUAAAAGAUUUUGCAUUAGGAACCCUAAAAAAAUUUCUAUUCUUUUUUUUCUUCUAGUCUAUGUAGGGGCCGAUGAUGCUGACAAAUUUGCACUUAAGCCCCUGUACUUUUUUUAAUUUUAAUAUGUUCUAAUGUGUAUAGAAGAUUUUGCAUUGGGAACUCUAGUUCUUUUUUUCCUCCUCCUCUACUGAUUCCAGAACGGAAACGGACAUACGGAGUAGCGGUUGGCAGAAAAAUGUGGGGCAGACUGAAAUUUUCUCCUUUUAUAAAUAGGUAUAGAUUUACCAAAUAAAAAUAAAAAUACUACAAUAUUUAUUUUGUAAAAAAAAUAAAACUAAACAAGGCCAUUUUGUGAUUUUGUCAAUGGUCUAUCCAUCGAGACAUCGAAGGGACCAUGCAUUACAUUAAUUCAUUCACUGCACACCAAGUCACGGUUGGAUAGAUAUCCAUCAAUCCAUGGCGGCGCCUUUUGUAUCCGAUCCAUCGUAAAGGGUAGCGCGAAGGUUGAGAGGUGUGCCCUUGUCAUCGUAUAUCACCGAGUGAUUGUCAUGGACGAUUAGUCCUUGCGUGCAGUUGAUUUGUUCUUGUUUAUGACUAACCGGAUGCAAAGUAGUGUCGAUGCAACAUGUAUCUCUUGACUUGUGCAAGUGUUGAACAUGCAUGUCAUAGUGGUCAGUGGCGAUGGCGACGAUUGAGCGAGAAGUUUAGGUCGAUAGACCAUGGAUGGACAUGAAAGCUUGAAACCAAGAGAUGGAAGCCUAGAGAAAGGAUUAUAGACGACAAGCAUUUGGCAUGAUAACAAGCAGGCCCGUCUCAUAGGGGUGCAGGGAGUGCGACGGCCGAGGGUCCAUGGCGCUGAGGGUCCAUAAGUAUACCCCCUCUAUACUACAUGUAUUGAGGCUCAUACGAUUCAUUUACUGCACUCGCUUCGUAUCCUUGGUCGCGACCCUUUCUAUUCGAGAUAGUGAUUUUCGCCACAAGCAGGAUUUGAACCCACGAUCUUAAGCUCACAUAGCUCCCUCCUUCACCACUGCACUACACCACCAGCUAUGAUUAUAUUACAUUUUGGUUCUUCAUAUAUCAUACUAAAUCACAUGUAAAUUGAUUAUUUAAGGCUCCAAACGAUUUCAAACCAAAAAGUUAUCAACUACAAAGUUUCAUAACUUUUUUAGAACUAUAAUUUUUAUUUAGAAAAUUUCUCCAUCCGAGGUCGUUUACAAAAUUUGAAUUUCAAAUUUAGAAAAUUUAAACGUAGUUUUUGCAUGACAACAUGAUUUCAAAUCAAAAAGUUAUCAACUACAAAGUUUCAUAACUUUUUGAGACCUAUAAAGUUUAUUUAGUCAGUUUUUUCAUCCGAGGUAAUUUUAGAAAAUUAUAAUUAAAAAUUUUCAAAUAAAGACGUAGUUUUAAAUGAUAAGAUAAACUCAAAUGAAAAAAUUGUCAACUAUAAAAUUUCAUAACUUGUCAAAAUCUAUAAAGUUUAUUUUGGUUGUUUGAUCAUUUGCUCAUCUGACACGGUAAUUCUAAUAUUUUUCAUAAAUCUUAUAUAUCUCUCUUGUAGUUCUAGGAACUAUAAGAGAGAGAUAUAAAAUUUGAGAACAAAUUUAUUUUCACUUUGCCAAAUGAAGAAAUGGCCAAAAUAAAGAUUAUAGAUCUUGAGAAGUUAUAUAAAUUUUUAGUUCAAAACUUUUUGAUUUGAAUUUGUUUACAGCUUCAAAUUUUGAUUUGAAAUUUUCUUUGCCGAGUGUUUUUUUUUUUUGCCGAGCGUUUUUUCUUUAGCACUCAGCAAAGAAGCUCUUUACCGAGUGUCCGAAAAAACCCUCGGCAUACCACUAAACACUCAGCAAAGAAUUCCGGUAGUGAGUGCAUGAAGAGUGUCAAGGCCUUCUUUGCUUCUCUAAUGACUUUAACCCUCACUUGAGCUCCAAGUAUUUUUGAGUUUCCUCCAAGUUCCUCAUUUUCUUAGGUUUUCCUAAAAUCCGUGAGAUUGAUGAAGGAAGCUCAAUACUUUUAACAACAUCUCUUAGAAGCAACUUCUUCAGAGGUUAGAGAAGGUGUGUGCAAAAUUUCAUGAUUUUUGAAGCUUGUUUGAUCGAGUUUUGUAUUGUUUUCCUUCUUGUUUUGAAGGCUGUCUUCUAGGCAGUUUGGAACUUUGUAUUUGUUCUUAUCUUGCGGAGCAGCGCUCAAGAGCCUUCUUCAUCAUAAUCACUCAUGCUUAGCUAAGGAUCUAUUUGCUCGACUCCUGAAAAAUCAAAUUACUUUUUACAGUUUUAUUUCUUCUAUUGUUCACAAAAAACGGUCUUUUUUCUAAAUUAGAUUUUGGUGGGAAUUAGAUUAAAAAAUCAAUUUUUCAUUUACAUAGGGAGUUGUGAGUUAAAAAAAAAUUCUCCUUACUCCUGCAUCUUCAGUUCCCACCGUAAUCACUUUAGACUUGUUCUCCGCAAGAAUUAUUACUCAUCAAAGAAUUGAGGAGCUACAACAAAAAGAUAGAACAGUGGAGAGCUCUAUUAAACUUCUUUGUAUUCGUUGGAGUCUAGGAAAAUCCAGUUUAUCCGUCAAAAUGUCAACUCCGUCUCGCCUGUGCCAUCUAUCGUGAAUUUACUCAUUUCAUUUUCCUUGAUUUCCAUUGAGGUCGUUGGACCAAGCAAUGCAAGUUAUCGCUUGAUUAAUUGCUUGGACACUACUUUGACUUCCUUUCUACGUGAGCGAGCGUGUGACGCGCUCCAUGAUAAAUGCAACUAACAACAAUGACGCAGCAGCAUGCAUGUGAUCGCUCUCAAAAUUAGUUUUGUUUGUCUGUCCAUCCACACAAGAUCGAAUAAUGAAAUGGGUUAAACUAGCUAAGAGCAAGUAUUAUAGUGGGUUAUAAGCUGACUAAAUACUGAGUGGAGGAGAGAAAGAAAGAGAGGGAAGAGAAGCAGGUUGUAAGCUUAGAGCCAGCUUAGAGCAAGUUGAAUAAUAUAUACAGCCUACUUGCUGACCGUAAGGUUCUUUACAGCCUUCUCCCAACCCACCUAUAUAAUAGUUAGCUAUUCACUAUUAAUACAUGGCUCAUUUAUCUCUCACAAAAUUUUUUGGUUCUUGUGCCAUAGGCCUUGUUUAGUUCGCAAUUUUUUUGUUUUUGCGUACUGUAGCAUUUCGUUUUUAUUUGACAAAUAUUGUCCAGUCACGGAGUAACUAGACUCAAAAGAUUUAUCUCACAAAUUACAUAUAAACUGUGCAGUUAGUUUUAUUUUCGUCUAUAUUUAAUGUUUCAUGCAUGCGACCAAAGAUUCGAUGUGGCGGGUAAUCUUGAAAAUUUUUGCGAACUAAACGAGGCGUUGGAUGUAAGCUUACAUCCUGCUUCUUCUCUCUCCUCUCUUCUCUGCUCUACCUCAGCAUUUAGCCAGCUUACAGCCCACUAUAAUAUUUGCUCUUAGGUACAGGAACCAAGAAGCUUUGUGAGAAAGAUAAGUGGGCCAUGUAUUAAUUGUGAAUAGCUAACUCUGGUCUUGUUUAGUUCGCAAAAAUUUUUGGUUCGGGUACUGUAGCACUUUCGUUUUUAUUUGAUAAACAUUGUUCAAUUAUAGAAUAACUAGACUUAAAAGAUUCAGUCGCGGUUUACAGGCAAACUAUGUAAUUAGUUUUUAUUUUUAUCUAUAUUUAAUGCUCUAUACAUAUACCGCAAAAUUUGAUGUGACGAGAAAUUUUUAAAAAUUUUGGAGUUUUGGGUGAACUGAACAAGGCCUAUAUUGUAUGGGUAGGCUGGAAAAAGGCUGCAAGGAAUCAUAUAGCCAGCAAGUGAGCUGCAUUAUUAAACUUGCUCUAAGGCCAGUUUAAGUGGGGGUUUCACCAGGAUGUCAUGCACAUUUAUUAGAGUGCCAUGUCAGCAAAACUGUACUUUUUGCAUGAAACGAAGAGGAGAGAGAAGGAAGUAGUUUCACCAUGGUGAAACUCCGCUGGGCGUUGUUUCCCACGCGGUGAAACAGAAUGAAAUCCCCACUGAGGACUAAAUCAUUUCACCAUCUUGCAUGUGAUCCAAUCAUUUUGCAGUAAUUAAAUGCUUUGCCCAGUCUAGGAAACAUCAAGGUGAAACUCAUGCAUUGUGGAGGUUGUUUCAUUGUUCGUUUCAUUGAUGCUCUGUCAGCAGAUUUAUUUUGAAAACAGUGCAUUGAAAUGCACUAUUGAGACUGGCCUAAGCGAAAGUCUCUCUCUUAUAACUAAUUAGUUUUGCCUUAAUAACUUAUUAAUUGGGUCAAAAUAAUUGAAGUAGUACUCCGUAACUAGCAAGAGGUGAAGCUGGCCUUUUCGUGAAACAGUGAAUGACCAAAACGCGAGCAAUGGUUCAGAAACUCCAUGAAGAAGAUAUCUUUCUACUGUUGGCAUGGUGCACCGUGCACGCAUGUUCGUUCUCGGAAACUUCGACCAUUCGCGUUGUAGCAAGUCAGCCUUUACUUCUAAAAUUUUUUGCAAAAUAUAAAUAGUGACACUUUCGUUUGUGUUUGACAAAUAUUGUCCAAUUAUGGACUAACUAGGGUCAAAAGAUUCGUCUCGUCAAUUUCGACCAAACUGUGCAAUUCGUUUUUAUUUUCAUAUAUGGCCUUGUUUAGUUGCAAAAAAUUUUGCAAAAUGGGUAUUAAAGCAUUUUCGUUUGUAUUUGAUAAAUAUUGUCCAAUCAUAGACUAACUAGGCUUAAAAGAUUUGUCUCGUCAAUUCCGAUCAAACUGUGCAAUUAGUUUUUAUUUUCUUCUAUAUUUAAUACUUCAUGCAUGCGUCUAAAGAUUCGAUGUGACGGAGAAUCUGAAAAAUUUUGCAAAAUUUUUUGGAACUAAGACCUUGUUUAGUUCUAAAAUUUUUUGCAAAAUCGACACUGUAGCACUUUCAUUUGUAUUUGACAAAAAUUGUCCAAUCAUGGACUAACUAGGCUCAAAAGAUUUGUCUCGUCAAUUUCAACCAAACUGUGCAAUUAGUUUUUAUUUUUAUCUAUAUUUAAUACUUCAUGCAUGCGUCUAAAGAUUCGAUGUGACGGGAAAUCUGAAAAAUUUUGCAAAAUUUUUUAGAAACUAAACGAGGCCUAUAUUUAAUACUCGUAUCUAAAUAUUCGAUGUGACUGGAAAUCUGAAAAAUUUUAUAAAAUUUUUUAGAACUAAACAAGGCCCAAGACAGCUAGCAUUCAGUGCUAGGCUAGCUGUGGGCCGGGCUGGCUGGCUCAACCCACCUCACAGUUCGUAGACUAUUGCCCUAUCCUAUGAUCGAGACAAUAACUCCCACCAAAGCUACUCCUAUCAAGUGCAGACACAAUAGGCUUGCUCAGCGAUACCCACGUGCCGAAUUUUUUAGGUUUGCUGAAUAUAUAUCAAUAUUUAUGAUAAUACAGUGGCGGAGGGAAGGGGGCUGAGGGGGGCCUGGCACCCCCAAACCUUCCCAUAACUCCCUUAAUACACCACAUAGAUUAGAUGUUUAAUUAUCUAAUUAGCUAGUUAAUGAUAUUAUCUGUACUAAGAUUUUUAUUCUUAUUUUAUAUUAAUCUCUAAUAGUUUCUUAUACAAAUAGAAUCUAGAUCUUUCUAAUAUUUUCUUCAUAUCUUUUAUUUUUAUUAUUGUCUAUCAAACAUCAGUUUGUCUCCUACCACACACUCUAAUUAGCUAGUUAAUUGAAAAUCACCGUUUUCCUUGUUUAAUCCUUCUGAUUGAUCUCCAGCGAUGGGAUCUAUAUUAUUUAGCAUUAGUCUUGCUAUUAUCUUUCUUAUCUCCUGUGCUUCUAUCAAUAUUCGUCUAAACUCUAAACGGUCAUUUAGCCCGUUGUACUCAACUUUUAAACACUAACAGUGGUAUGGUGUUUCUGUUUAACCUUCUAUUUAAAUAACCGUUUUACCUGUUUAAGUGAUCGUUUUGUCUAAGACUAAAUGAUAUGUAACUGAUUGUUUGUCAUUUGAUGUUAGGAUCUAGUACUAAUUAAUUUUGCCCCCAUUUAACUACUUGUUUUUAUUGUGAUUCUUUUUCUGGACAAAGAAAUAGAAUGAUCAGGUGAAUGUUAGAGGCUUGAGACUAGUUAAAUUUUUCUUUUAUUUUUUUAGUUUUUCUGCUUUUUUUGCAUCGCAACACAAAUGUUUAUUUUGGUGCUAUGUACACCUUUGUCAUGUAAUAUUUUGACACACAUGAUUGUUCUUGGUUUGCACGACCCCCCUAUGUUCAAAUCUUGGCUCCGCCCCUUAUUAAUACUGGAUCACUGUUAUUAGUUUCUUUAUGCAAUGGACUUCCUACCUCCUAACUCUGUUCUAAAAAGAUUGUAAUUCUAGAUUUGAAGAUUUGAUGAUCUGAAUAGAUUUUACUAAAUUUAUAGGAAAACAGUAUCAAUAAUAAUUAAUAGUCAUAAUUUUUAAAUAAAUAGGUAAAGUACAACGAUACAUUUCAUAAUUUCAUAUUUAUUUGGUAUCAUAAAUCUCUGCAUUUUUAAUUUCAUAUUUAUUUUUAAUAGUAAGAAUUCAUGAUGAAAUCAAAUAUGAUUAAGCAGCCGGUACGUAGAGCAAUGCUGCGAUAGUGCGAUGCAAUUGAGGGAUGUUCUUCUUGGACGUUGUAGGAAGGUCUUGUUGAGUUCUAUUUUUUUUACAAAAUGGAUAUCGUAGCAUUUUUGUUUGUAUUUGACAAAUAUUGUCCAAUUAUAGACUAACUAUGCUCAAAAGAUACAUCUCACAGAUUUCAAAUAAAUUGUACAAUUAGUUAUUAAUUAUAUAUAUAUAUAAUGCUUCAUGUACUCGUCGUAAGAUUUGAUGUGACGAGUAAUCUAAAAUUUUUUAUAAUUUUUUUUAGGAACUAGCAAGAUCGAGACAGAAGUAUUAUUGACAAGCGUUGACGCAAAGGCGGUUUUUUUUGUUGUCUUUAAGGGCAUAUGUCCUCAUUCUUUAUCCAUUAGAUUCGUUUUGAAAAAUAUGUAAAUAUACAUCUCAAAGCAGUUUUGCAUUAAGAUACGUGUUUACAUACUUUUUAAAAUGAAUUCAAUAAAUAAAAAAGUGAAAACAUAUACUCUUGAAGGCAAAAUAAACCUUACCGCAUUGAACGAUAGCUGGGCAGUAGGCACAUCGACAAUGCUGCACGCUGGGAAAGGCAGCUAGCCAGCUAGAUUGAGGCCGGAGAAGGUUUUUUUUUUUUUUUAAGAACAGGAGGGGCAAGGAGCCCAUACCGAGAAUAUAUUAAAAAUAGUGAAACAAGUAGAAAGAAAGGAAUAGCAAAACAGAACAAAACAAUAAACAAGUAGAGGUCAAAUUCAAUUCAAAACAAGUAGAGGAAUGAAACACGGAAAACAGCUCUAGCUAAUUUCUUCCAUCGGGAUUGUUCAAACUAACACGGCGGGAUCGAUUUCUGCUUGUUUGAAAAAAUUAUGAUUAAAAAUAUUGUUCAGUUGAUUUAUUAUAAGAACACAAGCGAACGAGCUCGCGCUGCUUUGACUCAGCUGAUCAAUACACGCAUGCUCGACACGUACGCAGACACGCGCUGCUACCUACCGACGACGACGAUGACGUUUACAGUCCAGCAAGGCUUAGCUUUCAACUAAUUAGGAUAGAGCUCGAUGAUGGAUCGAACGCCGAGAACCGGUAUAAUCCUGUAGUCGUGAAACCCAGCCUCCGAGAAGAUCUUCUUCCACUCCAGCUCGUCUCGCUCGACGCCAUUGAUGCACAUGAUCAACAGGUCAAACAACACCUGCGUCUCCACGUGCCUCACGUCCGACUCCGGCGACGGCUCAUCGGCUGAUCCGACCACCAUGUCUAUGAUUAUUACCUUCCCUCCUGCAGCUCGUGGAGGUAUAGCCUGCUUGCACUUCUUCAGUAUCUUCACACACUCGUCGUCGCUCCAGUCGUGCAGAAUCCACUUGAGCAACACAGCGUCCGCCGGAGGAAUACUCUCAAACAUGUCACCGCCGACGUACUGGACCUUCUCGUUACUGCCAGCAGCAGCCUUGGCGACGACCUGCGGGAGGUCCAGCACCGUGCACUUGAGGUCCGGGAACGCUGCCGCGAUGUUGGCGGCGGCCCCGCCGAGGCCGCCGGCGACGUCGACGAGGGAGGUGAGGCCACGGAAGACCUCGUCGCCGCAUUCCCUGAGCACGAUCGGCAUGAGGAAGGCGGUGUCCGACGCCAUGGCGUCGUCGAACGGGAACGCGUCGGCGUCGCGCUCGGCUCGCUCCCAGAUCGUCUGGCCGCCGCACGCCAUGGCGAACGGGGACAGGCCGGCCGGCUGCUCCUGGUGUUGGUGCUGCUCGUCCUGCGGCCGGAACCACGCGCGCAUGCCCCUGCUGAACGCGGAUCCCCGACAAGUUUCGAGAAAGAGCUGUACCUGCACAGUCAGAGAAGGCGUCGGCAUCGUCGUCGUCGUCGAGCUCUUCUUCUCUCCAACGACGAGGAGGCGGGAGGCUGCCGUCAGCUUGUAGACCGGACCUUCUGCUUCUGCGCCGCCGUCCGCCGCCGCCGCCACCACCGCCGAGGCUGGUCGCUGGACGGUGAAGAUGCCCGAGACGGUGAGCGCCCGCAUGACGCGGCGCAGGUCGCGGAGCUUGUUGUUACGCGGGUCGAUCUUGAUCCCGGCCUCCGCGAUUAUCUGUGGAAGGGUGGCGGCGCCACCGAGGCGGUGGAUGGCGUCGGCGAUGCGGAGGUCCAUGGCGACCGCGAGCGCGAGGGACUUGAAGAAGCCGAGGGACUGGUGCCAGAGCAGGAGCUGACCCUGGAGCAGCUCCUGGCUGCUGUACUCGCCGAGGAAUGCCAUUGCUGCUGUGCUUGUGGUGCAGAUCGGUCGAUCUUGGGUUCGUCGUGCCAGUGGUGCAGAUCAGAACGACGAGAGAGAGACAGAGAUGUAUAUAUGGGCUGCGCCGCAGUCUGAAUCAAACUUGUUGUUGACCGUGUGAUGGCUCAAGGUCCUGCAUGUCUGCGCCCCGUUCGACUGAAAGUUCGCAGCGGCCGCUGAUGCUGUUCGGUGAGAAAAAAACACAGUUUUAUAAUUGAUGAAAAGAAAAUGCUGAUAAGUUCAAACGAGCAGCAUUGUUCAUUUGUUCUAGCUAUACGAGACAAAACCUGGAUGAGCGGUUGGCUCUGAGCUGUAAGGAAAAAAACGAUCUGCAGGGCUCUUGCAUUGCUGCUAGUCCCCAUGACGGCUUGUUUGCUAGUUUCAAAAGUCAUGGCUGAAAAUACUGUUUGCUGAUUUGUCGUUUAAAAAAAUAACACUAUUAACUGACAGAAAAGGUAUAGUUUAUAAGAUAAGUGAAUGGGCUCUCAGCUAAUAAAUAAAAUAAAAAUGAUAAAUACCAAAACAAUGUUCGAUUUCAAGAAAUUUGUAGCAGUAAUAAGCUCUUCGUAUAGGUGAGUUUUGGUCUGGAUCCGUCACUGGCAGGAGCGCUCUCUGCUAAGCAUGCAACAAGCAAAAAAGAGUUUAAACUAUAUGUUGGCACUUGGGAUGAUCCGCUUAUACUAUUACAGAUUCCAGCAUCAUCGUUCAAACGCACGAUUCAUCCAUCUAUAUAUCUCUGCAGACUGCGGCUAGCUAGACAGCUCAGAGAUCAUCUCUUCUCUGCAGUAGCGGACCUGCAUGUUGGGCUUCCAAUUUCCCCCUUGGGCCGUGUAGCCUAUAGCCCAAUACUGACAGAGUACUGGAUGCAGCGCUUGAAGGUCCAGGGCACCAUCUACUCGCACUAGCGGGCUAAAUAGCCGGCUAAGCCCAUUUACUGGCUAAGUAAAAGAUACGUCAAACAUCAGGAAGUUUUUUUUUUUUGCGAAGAAAAAACACCAGGAAAUUUUACACGUAUAUAAACGUAAUAAUAAUAGAUGAACCAGAUAUUACAAAUAUCAACUAUCAAGUGAUAGUCUCGAAAACGAAUAAAUCAUACACGAUAUACACAUAAGUUCAAAGUGGAUUGUCUUUGCUUAAUUGGUUCGACAACCUCUUGUUUCGGUUUCCCCCUGAUUAGCAGGGCAAAUGGGGUGCUAUUUAACGAAUUUAGCAGGCUAAAUCCGGCUAAUAGCAGCAAAAGUGUUUAGCGCUAAAAGUGGAUUAGCUUCCAGCAGGCUAAAUCCAGCUAAAACGGUGGCUAUGGCCGGCUGUUUGAAACAUUGUUUCUUAUUAGUUUAGCAUCAAGCUUUCAAGGAUAGAGCUCGAUGAUAGAUCGAACACCCAGGACUGGUAUAAUUUUAUAGUCUUCAAAUCCAGCCUCCAAGAAAAUCUUCUUCCACUCUUGCUCAUCUCGCUCUGCUCCAUCGAUAGUCAUGACCAAGAGGUCAAACAAAACUUGUGUUUCCACGUGCCUGUUAUCUGACGACUCAGAUCCAACCACCAUAUCUAUGAUUAUUACCUUUCCUCCUACAUCUCGUGGAGGUAUAGCUUGUUUACAGUUCUUUAGUAUCUUGACACAGUCAUCAUCAUUCCAGUCGUGCAGAAUCCACUGAUGAAACAAUGCAGGCAAUCAUUCAAUACAUAAGUCAAAACACAAGCAAUGAGGGUAUUUGGUUAUAUCCCGAGCUAAAUUCAGUUGUGUACCAUCCAUAGACGUUAGAGGCUGGAACUUAGUUCCUUUAUCUAGAAAAAUAUGCUGAGCUAAAUUUGCAUUGCUGAAAUAUUUGCUAUAAAAUAAUUGUAUGUCUUUAGAAGUCAAAUAUUAGACUUAUAGAAAAUAUGCAUCUCCUAAUGUGUUCCUUUGUUGUAAAAAUGUAUAUCAACUAAUCUAAUAAAUACUCACUCUAUUUCACAAAGAAUGCGAUUCUUUGGACAAUGAGCCUGGACAAGCACAUAUUGAAAGCUAGAAUGAGUUUUUUUUUUAUAGAGAGACUACGUACUGUAUUACGCAAUAUAAAUAUUAUUAUUUAUUAGGUUAUAUUAUUUGUAUAUAUGUUAAAUUUAAACAAGUUUGACUCUCGAGAUUUGUAAUUAUUUUUGGACUGGGCACGAAUGCAAUGGACGUACACGUACCUUGAGGAACACAGCGUCGGCCGGUGGAAUACUUUGAAACAUAUCACCAGCAACAUACUGCACACUGGUACCAGCAGCAGAGGGAGCCUUGGCGAUAACCUGUGGGAGAUCCAAGACGGUGCACUUGAGGUCCGGGAACGCCGCCGCGAUGGUGGAGGCGGCCCCGCCAAGGCCGCCGGCAACAUCGACGAGGGAGGUCAGACCACGGAAGACGUCGCCGCACUCCUUGAGGACGAUCGGCAUGAGGAAGGCGUUGUCCGAGGCCAUGGCGUCGUCGAACGGGAACACGUCGGCGUCGCGCUCGGCUCGCUCCCAGAUCGUCUGGCCAUCGCACGCCAAGGCGAACGGGGACAGACCGGCCGGCUGCUGGUGCUCGUCCUGCCGGAACCACGCGCGUAUGCCACUGCUGAACGCGGAUCCCCGGCAAGGGUCGAGAAAGAGCUGCACCUGCACGCUCAGAGAAGGAGGCAGCUGGCUCUUCGUCGUCGCCGCCGCCGCCGCCGUCGAGCUCUUCUCUCCGACGACGAGGAGGCUGGAGGCUGCCGUCAGCUUGUAGACAGGACCUUCUGUGCCGCCGCCACCCGACGCCGCCGCGGCCGUUGCUGUCGCUGGCUGCUGGACGGCGGUGAAGAUGCCCGAGACGGUGAGCACGCGCAUGACCCGGCGCAGGGCACGGAGCUUACAGGGGUUGAUCCCGGCCUCCGCGAUUAUCUGGGGAAGGGUGGCAGCGCCACCGAGGCGGUGGAUGGCGUCGGCGAUGCGGAGGUCCUUGGCGACCGCGAGCGCGACGGGCUUAAAGAAGCUGAGGGACUGGUGCCAGAGCAGGAGCUGACCCUGGAGCAGCUCCUGACUGCUGUACUCGCCGAGGAAUGCCAUUGCUGAUUGCUGUGUGCUUGUGCAGAUCGCGUGUUGCGAUUGCGAUGGGUAUGUCUUCUUCUUGUUUGUUGAUGAGGUUGAGGGGUUAGCUUGUGGGUGGAUACAUAUUUGACAUUUUCGUUUUUUAAUAUAUAUUUCGCUUGUUCCAACACACUCUUUUCUUUUCUCAGUAUACCUCUCUCUCUCUCUCUCUCUCUCUCUCUCUCUCUCUCUCUCUCUCUCUCUCUCUCUCUCUCUCUCUCUCUCUCUCUCUCUCUCUCCUUAUUUUCUGUGUGCACAUAUAUUUUCAAGCCUUCGUAUUCUCGUGUCCAAACUAAAACAUCAAAUAUUUUAGAAUUGAGCUUAUUUUCUGUGCACAUAUAUUUUCAAGCCUUCGUAUUCUCGUGUCCAAACUAAAACAUCAAAUAUUUUAGAAUUGAGGGGAUAUAUAAGAUGUUUUGGCUUUUCUAACAGAUACAUUAAUUUAACUAUAUACAUAAGUGCAUAUCGAGGUGAAUAGGACGCCAAAAUAUCUUAUAAUUUGCACAACGAAAAGAGUAGCACGGAAGGAAUAAUCAUACACGCAUUUGUUUGCAUUAAUCUAGUUGCAUUAUUAGCUAUAAACUAAUUAGAUGCGUGUAAUCGGAUCGUUUGUGGUCAGAGGCGUGCAUGUCCACGGUAUGAUCCGAGUCCUUAGCGUUUUAUAAGCAUGCAACUGUAGUAUGUUGACAAUGCUUGCACGAUUAUUAUUAUUAUUCAUCCGUCUAUUGCUGCAGCUAGCCUGUCUGCACAGAGAUCGACACUUCUCUAGCACUAGAGCUGUCUAGCAGAGGCGUUGACUCCGUUGAGGAGGGACCGAGCGCCCGAUGACGCAGCAGCACUGUAGAGCUGCAUGUUGGGCUUCCCGUUGCAGAACCCCCUUGCCUUGGGCUGCAGCCCGCAGUACUGGAUGCAGCGCCAUCUCCUCGCACUUGGGGUCGUCCCGUAGCCGUACCACCGUCUCUCCCGCUCCCGGGCCUGCAUGCACGCACGCACGGCAACGACAUGAGGUAGCUUCUGAUGAAUGCAAGAGACAAGAGAGACGACGGCGCUGCCCUCGGCGCCAUCGCCACCAUAUUCUUCUGAGUCUGGUGAACUCAACAGACCCUGACCCUGUUUUUAUAUUAUGGAGUGCUCUUUGAAAUAAGGGCUUGCUAAACAAAGCCUUGCAGCCAUUUCAUUCAAUCCGCGCAAAAUCUCCAAGAUUUCAUUUCUGAUCGAGCGAGUUUUUUUCGCUAGUACAUACUAUAUGUAUAUCUCACACAUAUAAGUUGGCGAAUAAAUAUAAGCACCAAGAAAACAAACAAUUAUUUAUCCAUUGAAACAAAGCAUGUCUGUAUUAUGAGAUGUUUUUGAAAGAAAGGAAGAAAAUUCUCUUCAUUGUGCAUUGCAAGACACCUGUAUGUCAUGUCAGCACAAUUAUCCUCUUUUCUGAAGAGGCACCAUCUUUCUUCAUUUAUGGCGAAUCAAAAUUUGCAAUUAGGAGGCACGCAUUACAACAGUCGGAUUACAUCAGUGCAUCAUUCAAGCAGAUCAAACACACUGCAGCAACUAGCGACAAGACGCGACUUCCAAACCAACCGCCAGAUGCCAAUCGCAGUGAGUUCCAAUUAAAAACAGGGAAUGUUAAAAGGUUACAUAUGAUACGGCGUAAACAAAAUUAAAACAGGCGGCCACCUUUUCAGCCAAUAUUCUAUUCUUCUUUCUUGUUUCUGAGCUACACAAACAGCCUAUCAGGAUAAAUACAACCCAUCAACAAACUCACUGCUCUUGGACAGCUGAACGGGGACAGGCAACCAGCUAAUUACUACUCUUCCUUAUUGGCCUGAGUCGCCCACGACAGCCAAGCUCACCCCCAUUUUAUGCCUCAGCCGGAGAAAUAUCACUUACCCGGGAAAAAAGCUACCUAGAUCCAUCAUUAUUCUUGUUAUUGUUAUUUCCACACCUUGACAGAGUUGUCAUGGCUCGCAGAAGCUACCAUCCCUGUGACUGGUGACUGCGCCAGCGCAGCGAUUAGACCUUCAUGAGCUUGUACUGUCAGGCUCUGGUUCUUCACCAUGUUCCAAACCUCGAGAGACUGCAUCAUCAACAUUUUAAUGAGAAACUCUCUCUCUCUCUCUCUCACACACACACACACACCCAAAAAAAAAUUUAUGGAUCCAGUCCCUUGAGAAGGUAAAGUGCUAUUGCUGACAGAACUUUUUUUUUUUCACCAAGGGCACACUAAUAAGCUCCUGAUUCCUGAAUAUCUCGUUUUUAACUCCUUUGCUAUUUAAUAAGUGUAUCGUGUUCUAAGUUUUCUACGGAAUUUAAUAGUUAUCAUUAACUAACUUCCUUUAGCGUCUCCCUCAUUUCCCAACUGCACUUUAUAUAGAGGAUCAAAUUAACUCUGUGCAGGAUGAUCCUUUCACCUACCACCUUAAUUUUUGUUCCACAUUCUAAAACACCACCCACAUUUGUGGUGAGGGAGUAGGAAUAAACUGCUUUCCAAUAUCAAGUAUAUUGAAUUAUGUAUAUUCUUGUCAAUAAGAUGAGGCAAAAAUGACCAAGACAUCUUAAGGAUAGACAAGUUUUGGUACCAAAAUACAGCGCCAUACACUUCCUCAUAAAGUUUGUUUGAUACAAAUAACUACAUUCAAUAGACAAGCCAUAGUUACCUGGUAGCCUCCAAUAACCAAGAGAUUGGAAUAGCUCGGGUGGAACACACAAGAAUGGAACUUGUUUCCAUUGGAGCUAAGCUCAUGAAUGCACUCCCCUGAAGAUAUUGACCAAACCUUAACUAGGUCCUGACUGACGGAUGCAAUAUAUUCCCCAUUGUUGUCCCAGCACACUGACUGCACAUCGGUGUUAUGGCCCUGAGAUUACAAAUCAAGUACUUCAGGUUCACAUCAUUAUAUUAAAAACACUACUAGUGUCCAGGAAAAAAAAGCUUCACUACUCCAACACGCAGAAGAAAAAAGUACUUGUUGCGCGGUUAUAACUUAUACCAACAGUAUGCUGAGGAAUUUGAGAUGUGCAUGUGCAGGGUCAAGUAAAGGAAAUGUAGCAAAGAGACUUUUCAAACAAAAAUAGAGGAUAUGCUGGUAUUCAAGGACAGACCUGUAGAGUGUAUUUUUUCCCAUGCGUCUCAAUAUCAAAUAUGGAAACCACGUUUUCAGCAGCUGCGGCUAAAAACUGGCCAACAUGAGGUUGGAAUCGAACUUGGGCACUACCACCCUGUACAAAGAAGGCAGAAUUGGACAAAGUACUGAGUUACUAAAUCCAUAGACUCUUUUUGCACAAACUCAUACAUGAAACUUUGAAGAGUAGAAGGAAUAUAAGCAACCUUUAUGGCACGCAAACAUGUAAGCUGGGUUGCAUUCCAGUACCGGAUUUCACCGCUGCCAUCACAAGAGCACAGAAGGUCUGUUUUCUUUGGAUGAAAAUCUAAUGAUGUGACCUGGCCACUGUGCCCAGUGAACGUAUGCAGAGAGAAUCCAGGCUGCAAAACAUGUGAGCAUAAGAAAUGCCGUAAUGCAAGUGCAUGGAAAAAAAGCUGAGGCUUAAGAUUCAAGGUUAGUAACACAGAUGGCACAGUUCACCCAAUACAUUGAUGUGUUUAACUAGGAUUUUCAUAGUAUAACACAAUUUGCAGAUCAAGACACAAAAAGGGGGAAAAUAUAAUAUUUACAUGUCAAUUCAAUCAUGUCAUAGUUGGGCCUUGCUACAAGUUGAGACAUGGUGACAAUAUGGACAAGUAUAACUAGAUUUGCAGCCAUGAAUAUGAAUACUAAAAAUAAACACUCAAUGUCUUAAUAGCACGCAGGAGUAGUGAAGUAUGCAAUAGGAUAAUGGUGACAUUACUAUAGGAGGUAUAAUAGCAUAUAUCUACGAUCCCUAUAAUGGACAAGCAAACAUAACUUACAUCGGCAGCAUUCCACAGUUUAAUAGUUCUAUCAAAAGAAGAUGUUGCCAGCUGACUAGAGUUAGGCCUGAAACGAACAUCAGUGAUAAUAAGGCCAUGCUCUUCUGGCGUAUACUGUGUCUGGAAAUUUUCCAUGUUCCAAAGUACAGUCUACAACAAAUGAACAAAAAUAUAGUAUGUCAGUCUGAGAAACAUCAGAGGCUCCAUAAAGAAGUGUCACUUGGAACAAAAACCAUAAUGUAAGACAGUUUCUUCGUACCUUCUUUUCAUGUCCUGCACUAGCCAAAAUCUUGCCAUCUGAAGAGAAGUGGCAGCAAACAAUUUUGCUGUUGCUUGUGCGCCAACAGUUCACUUCACUGAAAGUAAAACCUAGAAACAAAUGGACACGUCAUUUGAUAUUUGAAUUUUGUUAGGAAAAAACAUCAAAAAGUAUUACCUUUCGAAGUGGCUGGGUUAGGCUCUGCAGGACUUCUUUUGAGUGCUGCAAAAAUAUCCCUGGGAUCUCCAUCAUCAUUGGAUAAGAAGGAUUCAACAUUUUCAUCCAAAGAGCCCACAUCACCAAACUGCUCAAGGUCAUCCUGUCACAUACAACAAUUGUGUUACCCAUCUAUGUAGCAUAUAAUAAUCACUAUAUUCACUAUAUACUUUAAAUGAAGAGUAAAAGCUGUAACCAUUUGAUUUGAAGAGGAGGCAAGUCCAGUUCCAUCAGCACCAUAGAUCAUUAAGUUCUUUGGAACGUGGCGCAUAUUACCACCCAUUCCAAGUCCAUCCCCAGGCGUAUGUGUGGAUGGUGUAGAUGGUGGGGAGUUGGCAGGACCCACAGUGUUUCCUGUACCAGUACUAUUUGCUGGUCCUGAAGAAGUAGGCUGCUUUCUUUUUCUAUUGUUCUGGAAAUAACAAAUAAUUACAGAACAAGGAGGAGGUAUAAGGUCAAUGGCAAGCACAUCGGUUCUUAUUUCUUAAGAACAAAUUUGUAGUAACUCAUGCAGUGAAAUAAAGAAAAGGGUAAAUAGCCGACUAUUCAGCUUUAGUUGCCAGGGAUCAUAUACUAUGCACCAACCAAAGAAAACAAAUUCUUUCUUACACGUUUACAGUAUGCAAAUUUACAUAUAAUAAUUUCAAAUUUGGUCUUCAAUGUACGAAGAAGAUAAGUUAUGUCAACUUAUUUGGACAAACAGACCUCAAAUAUAUGCAAAAGCAGAAAAUAUUGCGAAUAACACGUGGCAUAUGAAGUCCUAACAGUAAGCUAACUUUAACUUUCAAAGCCAUGGAGUUUAUCGCAGAUCCAGAAACAAGGGGCAGGGCAAUCCAAACAACACCCCAGCUGAUCGCACCAACUUUUAUCAUAUUGUACUAUAUUAGAAUACGAUGAAUAUAUUCAUGAUAAUAUAAUCACGGAACUUUUUUAUCAUUAAUUCGCCGAGGGCUUUAACCCCAUUGUCAUGGAUUUAUAGUUUCAUCAGUGGCAGGAUUUGCGUAAUUGUAAUAAUUUAGCAUCCAAACUUCAUAUUCCAUUGAAUCUGAUGCCACCAGCACUGUUCUUUACACAUCACUGUGUGGCAUUCCCUUUUGGCAUCAUUUUUUCAAGAAAACUAUUGCUUCCUCCAUGAACGAUCUCAUGUCAUUUCAGCAUCUUAAUAAGAACCCUUCCUAAGAUGUGCAAGUUUUCUUCUAAGGCUUCCUCAGAUAAACAUAUCAGUCCCACUGUGCACUCUAUAAUUUAUAUUUAAUUACUUAAUUUGUUGAUAGAAGAGCAACAAUAGAUGCAUAACGGGAAAAUUUAAAGAUUCAGAUCAACAGGGGAAAGCCCAUAGUUCAAGAAUAGAACAGAAAACAAUAGGUUUGGCAUGCUUUCAGUACCUGCUGCAUUUGUUGUUGCUGGCUCUGUUGCUGCUGCUGGUUCUGAUGCUGCUGCUGCUGCUGUUGAAGCUGUUCCUGGGGUUGCUGUGAAGAUGUCUGCUGCAUCUGAAUAGUUUUCAGAUAUAGUAAGAUACCAACAAACUAGAGCCAGAGAAUGUACAAACUUAAGAGAACAACUCUAAACAAAGGAAGGGCACAUCUACAGCAAUCCAACCUUCAUGAGAUACUCUUGGUCUGGUCUGACUUUGGGUGAACUGGAUUGCAUUGGGGAACUAAUACACCCAUCAGUUCCUGCAGGUUGACCAUCUUUACCAUUCAACCCACCCCUGGUCAACGCUGUAAGUCUGCGGGGAUCAAUAUCCCCAUAAUUAGUUGAGUUGCCAAGGUUCCCUUGUGCUUGGGCCUGUGCUAAGUAUUGCUGCUGCUGCUGUGGGGACAUAAGUUGGAACUGUGACUGUGUUGAAAGAAAUGGCUUCUGCAUUUGAGCACCCAAAUUCGGCCUUAAUUGAUCAAUUCCCUGUAAGAUGGUAGCAUGGAUAUUCAUAGGUGGUCAGGUUCCAAAACAAAAUAUGAGCACAUAAGGGAACAUUUUUUUUCGUAGCUUACAGUUAAUGGCCAGCCUUUCAAUGGUAAACCGCUCACACCUUGGUUCAGUCCUGUUCAAAAUAUGAGGUAUUAAAAAGAAGGAAACAGAAAGAAUGUGAAAUGUAUGAUGUUCUUGAAAUGAAUCAGUCACAUCAUAAACACCCCGAUUAACCAAAAGAAGAACCACUGUAGCGAGUUACUCAUUACUUGCCAGUAUAUCCAACUGUUACAACAUUGCACUGGUAUGGCACAAUCUAUGCCAUCAAAAGUUAAUAGAACACAACAACAACAACAACAAAGACUUACUCUCAACAACCCAUGAAGUUGGGGCUAGGGAUGAAACCUAACAGAAGCCAUAAAAGAGGAUAAAACGCUAAAAAAAACAAUGUAUCAACAACAGCAAGGAUGGCAAGAGGAAUGUGGAUUGCUGAGUUCCAAACACUUGUCAGAAUCCUAUUACAGUGCAAGAAUGACAGGACAACAGUACUGUAGUUCAAUGAGAUGCAACCAACUUUUCAAUAUAAAUUUGCAAAAAAAAAAGGUCAAAAAGUUGUGUUGCUUGCAUCCAAACCAAUUAAACUUCAACCAUCAUAUAAAUCGUAUAUAUUGAGAUUGAACAUUUCAAAAUGAUGAGUGAGAUUAAUCUCCAACAGCAACUAGAUAAUAUUAAAGUUUUGUUGUACUUUCUAAUUAUAUUAGGAUAGAAACUAUCACUCAAAGCUACACUUGGGAGACCAUGACAAUGUUCAUAACCAAAUUGUUUCAUCAUUUGCAACUGGAGGGAGUAUGUAUCCUCAGGCAGCAGCAGUAAAGGACAGGUGUUCUAAAGAAGUGCCUUUAUAGUGAGUGCUAGUUUGGCAACAUAGGAGGAACUCACAAGAAACAAGGUAAAGGGCGCACCUGCACCACUCAAUCCAGGUUUAGGCUGAAUUAUUCCCUGUCCAUACAACGAUGAUGGAUCCAUGGGUAAAGAUCUCUGGGGUACUCCCAUGUUACCUUCACUCUUAAUAUCCUGUUAGAAGUUAGAACAUUCAGGUUAUCAUUUAAUGAACUAGUGUAAGAAAUUGCAGAGUGAAUAGACAUAUAGUGGAAGUGGAACCAAUAACCUACAAUCGUUUGCUGAUUCCGAGCCUGGAUUUGCUGCAGAGUUGUAGACACAUUUCCAGGAGUCCCUGGAACUAAUUGCCUGAUUCCACAAAAACAGUAAGUUCAGUCAGUACCGCAAAUGUUUCAGUUCCAACUAUCUUUCCUUUCCCUUUUAUAGAAGUGUGUAAGAGAAAAAUGGGGGUUGGUGGAGCACCCUGCAUGGUUUGUUGCUGACUUGAGAAGAGCCAUUCUACUAGCUUCAAUGAGUUGUGAUCCCUCUGACUCCAUUGAAUGUGGGUGCUUCAAGCGCUCUUCAUACAUCUUGGCAGCUAAGACACUAGCUGUUGAUGGCCCCAAAAUGCCAUCAGAGUUUAAAGCAUUUAUUGGACCAUUAAGUGAAGGAUGAUUCGCAUUAGUUCGCUGAAGUUGAGCAUGCCUUUGCUGCAUGAGUUGCAAUUGCUGCAUCUGCAUCUGCUGCUGGUGCUCUCUUGCUUUUAUUUGCUGUGCCUAUCUCCAACAGAACAGAGAUUCACACUAGGUUAGCUUAAGAAAAACAAGAAGUGCAUUGUAAAUUAAGAAAUCCCAAGUUACCUCUAGGUAUGCCGCUGCAACUUCAGAAUGCUUUUCAUUUGUCCUUGCGAUGAAUAUAUCCCAAAAGACAGACCACCACUCAAAGAGAAACCCUCCAGGAGCAUCAAUUGCUGCAUCACAAUUCACAAGUCAAACUCAUACUUAUGAUGGAUCCCCUGGGCAAACAAACUAAUGGACACUGGACAGAAAUAGUUACAAAAAUAUCACACGAAUGCAUGUGAUCUUGGAAUGGGUAGGCAUCUGUCACAUAUAUCAUCGUUUCAUACUCAGCACUUCACUCCUUACCAGGGUUUGAGAUCUUCACAAGAUAGCAUCUUUUAGAUGGCCUUGUUUAGUUCCAAAAAUCUUGGCAAAAUGGACACUGUAGCACUUUCGUUUGUAUUUGACAAAUUCUGUCCAAUCAUGGACUAACUAGGCUUAAAAGAUUCGUCUCGUAAAUUACAGGUAAACUGUGCAAUUAGUUAUUUCUUUUAUCUAUAUUUAAUGCUCCAUGCAUGUGCCGCAAGAUUCAAUGUGACAGGGAAUCUGGAAAAUUUUGCAAAUUUUUUUGGGAACUAAACAAAGCCGGAGAUGAAGGUUCUAAACUCCUAAUGUAACAGCAGUUGUACCAAUUACCCUUUUAUAAUAUCCUGUCUUUCGUAAGCAAGUGGCUAUGGUACAUUGGUACUUUUUUCUCGAACACGCAGGAGAGUUGUGUAUCAUUAUAUUAAGAAGAAAAUGGUACAUUGGUACUAUUUCGAUAACCAUUUCAUAAGAAUAUUUACAACAAUUUCGAAACUGGACCCUACACUAUUUGCUGAGAUUCUAGUCCUACCACGCAUCUGAACAAUAUGCCAAAUUAUAUUGGUACUACUUGUUUGCUCAAUGCAUGUGGGCCCCUGAACAUGAGGUCCGUACUUCAGAUGAUAACCACACUAAAUCGAUUAUUUCUUAUCAAAUCAUAAUCCAUUAAACAGAACGGUGCUUUCUACUGCAUACUUGCAUAGAAGUAAUUACGGGGAUCCAAUUUUGCUAAACAGCUGCAGUUUUGUUUAUCAGUGAUGAGUUUCGCAGUUGCACUACAAGUGUGUCACCCAGUUACAUAAAAAAUAUAAAAAAAAUUAAAAUCUAUGCUGCUAUAGAUAAAUUAGUAUGUCAAAGCCUAAUGUUAAUUUCUAAUUUUGGCAUGUAUGAUUGUGUUAUAAAGUAAAAUCCCUAUAUAUAGGGAUGAAAACGGGACAUAUUUCCUGAUAUCCAUCCAUCCACAACGGGUUCAAAUACUAAAUGGAUAAUCCGUAUAUGAAUCCAGCCUUUUAAUAUCUGUACCGUAUCUGAAUCUGAUACUCAAAGUAAGAUUUUUGUUAUGUGAGAUGGGUGUCAAUAUUCAACGCUAUCCGUAUCCAACUCCAAAUCCCAGAAAGAAACUACCUCUAUUUGUAUCCAUAUCCGUAAUAACCAUUCGUAUCUGGUCCAGUUUCAUCCCUAGUACGAAGACGCCCAGUAGCUUUCCCAAAACCAUAUCAAGAACAAGCAACGACAGUAGUAAUCCAGCUAGUUUCAACAUCAGGCAAAGCUUUGACACUUGAGAAAAGCAUAACAUGUUGAGAUAAUUCAAUUGAAUAGCAUUAGCAAAUAGCAGUAGCAUUUAGCUAAAUCGCCACUAAUAGCUUAGUAGUGAGUAGGGGCUAUACAGAUGCAUCAUGUUUGUUAUAUGAAUGCUACUCAUGCAGCUUCUGCUUGGCACACAUCUACAAUCCAUCAAUACGAUAACACCACCCACUUCACAAUUACUAACGUGAGCUAUUAUUUAAAUAAAUAUACUUUAAACAAGAAAGCUAGACAAAGAAUAGUAGCAUAUAUAAAGUGCACUAUUGCAUUUGGAGUUCUAAAUUUAUUACAUUCCCACUAAAGCACCUCUCGACAACACGACAAAAAUUUUGUAACAUCAUGGGUAGCAUCAAUUCCCGCUUCCACCAAAUUCAUGUGCAUUAGCAUGCAUAAACGCAAUCGCACACCGUCAAUCCUCUAAACAACGGCAGCUAACGACAACCAUUAUCUGCCUAUAUAGGGAAGCGAAAUCCCGCAGUUUCCCGCGAAAAGUUAUGAACCCAUCUCAACUGGCUCCUCUUCAACCCUCACACCCACCAUAUAACAUCAGAACUUCUCUGUCUAAAUUGUCACAAAGCUCUCCAAACCCCUUUGAAUUGACAUUACCUACACUCCCGUUUGGCUGAAAGCCAAACUGGAUAAGUUCAGAUUCCAAUCCUCUGCCCUACUUCACCUACACAUAAAAAAAAAACAAUGGAGUAUUCCAUACCGAAAAUUCGUAUCAGAGCUGAAAAAUACUGCCCACUCCAUCUAGUUCAAAAUUCGAAUUCACACCCGCAACCAAUAGCUAAACUCUCGUGCACUGUCACGAACAAAACCUAACCCAGCAACAAAUGCAAAAGGGCGAAGCAACAGAAGAGGAGGCAACAAUUACCGACUGGAUCAGCAGCAACCUUUCCCUCAGCCAUGAAAGCCUUGGCCGUCGUCUGCAGGUUCCUCUUCAGCAGAUAGUCAUAGAUAUACACGUCGAGCCUGCACCACAAGCAACGGAAUCAACCCAGAGCAAGCGAGGGGGCAAAAAAUUCACACGGGUACAACAAAUCAAAAUCGCUCACAUCUUAUCCGCUUCCCAGUUGCUCUGCGCCAUUCUGCGACCGGCGGCGAAGCGGAGACGGGACAAAGAGGCAAAACCAGCAGAAAUUAGCAGCGGGGCCAGGCGAUUCGAUACCAAACUCGAGGGAAAACAAGGGAUCAGAGCCCACAUUACCGGCUGGGCGUGAUCUCGCGGCCGAGGGAGGGGGGUCACAGACGGCCUCGAGAAAAUUUCCCGCGGCGAGCCGCCGUGCUGGCGGCGAGCGGCGACGGGGUUCCAAUGCCCGAUCGAGGGUGGCCGCGUCGGCGUUCGCGGCGAGCUCAGCGGCGGAAUUUGGUGGUGGGUGGAGCGCGCGCGCGCGCUACGGUGGUGUGAGCUCGCUUCCGCCCGCGCCGCUUCGGAAGAAGCGGAGAGGAGUUACUACUAGUAGUAGAUGAGAGAGAAAGUGAGGGAGGGAGGAGAGAGAGAGAGAGAAAGGAAUAGGCAUAGACAGAGCGAAGGAGAAGAGGCAUGGGUGGGGUGCGGGUGUGAGCGAGGCUGGCUCGGUAGGGUGAGCCAGGACUCCGGUUCAGGAAGGUUCGGAUGACAGGCAGGCGCCAGACAAUUUUGCAGGAGGAUCCUCGGUUAAACUAUUAAUUGCUUUGCAGAUGGGAUUAGGGCCUGUUUAGAUUGGGAACGAAAAUUUUUUGGGUGUCACAUCGGAUGUGUCGGAAGGAUGUCGGGAUGGGUUUUUAGAAACUAAUAAAAAAACAAAUUAAAUAGAUCGUCAGGAAACUGCAAGACAAAUUUAUUAAGCAUAAUUAAUCUGUCAUUAGCAUAUGUGGGUUACUGUAGCACUUAAGGCUAAUCAUGGAGUAACUAGGCUUAAAAGAUUCGUCUCACGAUUCUUAACUAAACUGUGUAAUUAGUUUAUUUUUUAUCUACAUUUAAUGUUCCAUGCAUGUGUCCAAAAAUUCGAUGGGAUGGAUGAAAAAAAUUUGGGUAGGAAACUAAACAGGGCCUUACUCGAACAAGUAUCUCAAGGGAUCUCCUACAAUUAAUACUCUGCAUCUUCUGUUUUGAGAAGUCAACUAAUUUUAAAUUUGAAUUACUCGAACUAUAUCUAAAUGGAGCACCUUCAAUUAAUAGUAAACACUUCUCUUCGUCUAAAAAUAAAUAUACUUAUUGUAUUUUGAGAAGUCAACUAGUUUUAAAUUUGAUUAAAUAUAUAUUAAUAUUUAUGAUAUUAAAUAAGCAUCAUUGCUUAAAAUUUGAGAAGACAAUUUUGUAGUAGUGUCCUCGGUUAAAAUAUUAAUCACUUUGUAGGUGAGUUACUCGUAUGGAAUCUUAAGGGAUCUCCUCCAUUAAUACUCAUAUUUGAAAAGUCAACUAAUUUUAAAUUUGAGAGAAGUACAUAUUGUUUAUAUAUUAUUUUGAUAAGUUAACAAAUUUAAAUUUAAUAAUUCAAUAUAAAUAUAUAAAAAAAUGGAUGCACGUUGUUAUGUAUACUUAACGUCGUGCAAUAAAGGGUUGAGUAGCCACAAACAAUUAAUAUAAGACAAGUAGUGUUGUAAUGUUGAAUCUACAAUGAAUAGUAUUUAGCCAUGAUCAUUAGUUAUUGCAAUAUAUAAGGACCUAUUAUCAUAAGAGAUUAGGUUAAUAUAAGACAUCAGACAUUUAUUGUAGCUACUUUUCUAGUCUAGGUAGAAGUGAACAUUAACAUUAUCUGACAUUAUUUUAACAUUAUUUUGACUAGAAAAAACAAUUAGAAUCUUUUAAAAGGAGGUUCAUGGACACGCUUUUUAGUUCUUGUUACGGCAUAAAAUGUAUAUAUUGUGGAUUAUGUGCCUUUAUCUCAUUACAUAUAAGAUACUCUUAAUAAUAAUAAUAUUUUCAGGGAAAGAAGAUACUCUAUCCGUGAAUAAAGAUGCUUGUGCUAGCUCGUCGUCAUAUUCCAAAGGUGCAAGGGCCAAGCUGCGAUUUGGCACGCAGAGGUUCGGAGCGAGGAGUAGGCUCGGAGGCGUGGGGAUUGGAGUGCUUGAUUAGGCCCGGAUUACCACGGCCCAGCUGGUGCGGAGGGCCAAACAGCGCGCACGGGACCUGACCAACCGCGUGAAGGGAUGCGAUGGCGUGGCGGCCAGCGGCUGGAGCCCCUGCGACGCCCGCUGUUUGCCACGGGAUUCGUGAAAGACGGAGGUGAGCUGGUGACCUUUCACAGUGACGAUGUCUCGCACGUUUUGUGUUCCUCUGAGGCCACCUCGUCUGUUGCCUUCCCUGCGUGCGGGUUUUCUUUCCUGUUCUUUUUUCCUUUCUUUCUAUUUCGAUACAUCGUCCUUCAUGUUAUAAGCUGAUGUAAGCACUUUUAGACGGCUGAGGAUAGUAGCUUUGCUCAGAAAAGAUUGUUUGCAGAGUAGUGUUGUGAUUGUUGUUACAACAAGCACUCAGAAAACGCCUACAAUUGGUAACCACUACUUAAUGCAGUAGCUGCUGCAGCCACACCGUCGGGAAAAAAAAUCGCAGCCAAGCAUAACCGAAAUCAAACACAUCUCAUACCGUUUAAACUGCUUGUAAUAAUUGAUCAAUCAAAUGUGUUUAUAAGUAUACUGUACUAUAGAUUUUUUAUGUCAAUACAAAAAAAGAAAAAUAUUAUGGUACAGUAAAGGCACUCACAAUGCAAGACUCUGUCACAGAGUCGAAGACAAUUAAUUACAUAUUAUUUAUGAUAUUUUGCUGAUGUGGCAGUAUAUUUAUUGAAGAAAAAAGUAGAAAAAAAUAAAACUCCAAGUCUUAUUUAGACUCCAAGUUCAUAUUGUUCGAGGUAAUAAAUAACUUUAGACUUUACUCCCUCCGUCCUCAAAUACUGCUAUUUCUAGCAGAUUUCAGACAGAUUAGUGUGGCAAACAAAAGACCAUUUUACCCUCAAUUAAUUUGGGUUCCACCAUUUAAUCAUACACGUUAAGCCAUGGUUUUCUGGUUCCAAUGAGCUGCAUUUAAUGUCAACUAAACAGACUCAAACAAUUACCAUGCGCCAAAGUACUACUCCCUAGAAGAAAUUAAAUGGGUUGGUGGACCACGGAAGUUUCGAGGAGAAUUAAAUGGGUUGGUGGACUGAGUAUGCUAGUAGAAAUAGCAGUAUUUGUGGACAAAAUUUUCUCCUAGAAAUAGCAGUAUUUAGAGACAGAGGGAGUAUAAUAGAAUCUGCAUUGUGAGUGUCCUAAGGCCUUGUUUAUUUCCACCCCAAUACUUAAAAUUUUUUCAAGAUUCCCUGUCACAUUAAAUCUAUAGACACAUGCAUGAAGUAUUAAAUAUAGAUAAAAAUAAAAACUAACUGCACAGUUUGGUUGAAAUUUACGAGACAAAUCUUUUGAGCUUAGUUAGUUCAUAGUUGAAUAAUAAUUACCACAAACAAACGAAAGUGUUACGUAAAAUUUUUUUACUUUAAAAACUAAACACGGCCUAAAAAAUAAAUCGAAGAAAGGUUAGGAGACGCGGUCCAUUCAAAAAUUCACAAAAAGAUGUCCUUGCAAACACUAAAAAGGCCUAGUAGUACUCCGUAUGCCAGCCAGGACGCCUUGGGCCACAGCAGAGACCACAGGCAGCAUCGGGCGUAGAAGAGCGGGCAGGAUGCGGUGGCUGGACCGGGCGGUGAGGCCACCCCUAGGCUGCUCUGGGCCCCGCGUGUUUACACGGUACGGGGCAGGCAAGGCAGCGAGCGAUCCCGCUCCCGCCCGGUCCUCGCGGGGUCGGGGUCCCGGUCGGCGCCGCUCGCCGUCGCCGCCGCGCGUGAGGCGCACGAGCGCGGGGUGGUUGGCUUGGGUAGAAACGGAAACGGAAGACGGCAGCCCGCACGGCGUCGCUUUUCGGCCCGGGGUGAACCGAACCAUUCUCGGAAGAGCACGUUCUGACGACGCAGCGACACCGGUGACGCUGUACGUAGUACAUUUCUGUGGUGGGAUCUCCUCUCCUCUCCUCUCCUCUCGUGCCGUCGUUCGCGUUUAGUCCAGCGGCAACUGGUCUCCUUCCUUUUUACGGUUUUUCUUUGGCACGUCUUGUCUCGCCUCGCCUCUCUCUCGCUCGCGCGCGCGGUUCAUUUGGGUUGGUUGGUGGUGUCGGUAGUUUCUAUGGUGCUACUACUAGUGAUUCGUGAUGGUAACGGUUUGGCGUUGGUUUGCUUAUAUUAGCAAGUAGAAAUAUCCUGUCGCUCUCCGUUCAAAUUUAAUAGAGGACUCUCAUGUCACUCUUUACAAAGAGGCUUCUUUGGAACGUAGUGGGGGCAGUGAGAAGAUGCGAUAUGAGAGUUUAUUUGUCAAUUUACAGUCUUAUGGGUUGAGAAUGUCACGAGUUAUCAAAGAGCCAUUCCGAUGCAGUGAAGGUUAGAAAAAAGUGCUUGGUUUUUUAGAGGUAUAUUUAGUCUAUUUGAAGGAAUUUUCCGUGAGGGUUGAUCACAUGCAUUCCAUCAAAAUUCUUCCUCGUUGGGACUAACAUAGGAAUUUUCAUCAAUUUAGGCAGGUUCAUUGAAUCAACGCUUUGUUUCAACACCUCGAGCAAAAAUAAUCAUUUUAGCUAAAGUAGAUAUUCAUCCAGUCCGAUCCUCUUGUUGUUGAAAAUUACUUCUUUUAGUGCAUUUUAGCGGGGGCUCCUCGGGUCCGGCCGUUCGGACCGAAUCGUCCGUCCGGCGAUUUUCCCGCUAGGCUGUUUCCCGCCUAAAUUGUUUUCGCCUGUAUUGUUUCCCACCGAAAUCAGACGCGUCUAAAUUAUUAGGCUUUUAGUGUGGACUGUUUAGACUGUUUCUUUAUUGUUUUGAUGCAUGCGGCAACGUUGACUGUUCGUAACUGGCUAGAAAUUGAGGCAACAUAUAAAUUAUUAGGCUCUUCGUUUACUAGGCUUUGUAGCACUUUUAUUUGUAUUUGAUAAAAUAUUACCUAAUUAUGGACUAACUAGGCUUAAAAGAUUCGUCUCGCAAAUUACAUGUGAACUGUGUAAUUAAUUUUUAUUUUCAUCUAUAUUUAAUACUUAAUGCAUGUGUCUAAAGAUUUGAUAUGAUAGGGAAUAUGAAAAAUUUUGCAAUUUUUUGGGACUAAACAAGGCGCACUGGUAAAGUAGGUGAACAUGGAGACAUAUGACAGGCUGUCCCAUCGCAUGGGACCUACUCACCUAUAGAUACUAAUAAAUCUUAACAGAUUAAAAAAAGUUAUAACUUCUGAACCAAAUAUCAAAGUUAAAUUCUGAUUACACCAUCAAAUUCCUCGCAGCAAAUGCUUCAAAACAAGAUCUCACAUGAAUAUAUUUAAAUAAAAUUUAAUUAACGGCCAUUUAUCUUAUAAAGAUAGAACAUUUUCUUUUAUUGAGUAGGUAUUCUAGUUUUAGAUUCGUAAAAUUUAUAGUAUGAUGUACACAAAAAAAAUAACGUAAGUACAAAUAAUAACAUCCAGAGAAAACACAUAAGGAAAAAGAAUAAAAACAUGUAAUGGAGAAAAAUUAAAAGAACAUCACAUAGAUAUUUUUUAAAUAUCCUAAAAUAUACUACACAACAUCACUUAUGUAGUAAGUGAACAUUACUAAAUAUACCAUAGAACAUUAUUAAAUGUAUUAUAGAACAUCACAUAUAUAUUACGUGAACAUCGCUAAAUAAUAAUAGAACACCAUAUGUGUACUAAGUGAACAUCACAAAAAACGCCAUAGAACAUCACUAAAUAUAUUAUAGAACAUCUUAUAUAUUAUGUGAACAUCACUCAUCACUGAAUACAUUAUAGAACAUCGUAUAUAUUUUGUGAACAUCACUAAAUACACCAUAAAAUACAUUAUAGAACAUGACAUAUGUAUUACGUAAACAUCACUAAAAUAUAUCAUAGAACAUUACAAUAUAUUAUGUGAACAUCAUAAAAAAUAUCCUAAAACAUCAUAUGUAUACUACGAGGACAUCAUAUCUUUGAAACAUUAUAUGUAUAUCACGUGAACACAAAAGAAAACAUCACAGAACAUCGCAUGUAUAAUAUGUGAACAUAAAAAAACAUCACUACAUAAUCAUAAAAAACAAUGUAGAACAUCAUAAAAGAUAAUAUAAACAAAUAAAAGAAAAAAGAAAUGAAAGAAAGGUAAAAAUUAUAAAUAUUAUAAAAAAUGAAAGUAAUAAUAAACACAUAAAAAAUAAAAUAAAAAUAAAAAAUAAGUAAGGCACACAAAGGAAAAAGAAAAGAAAAGAAAUUAAGAAAAAACAUGAAUUGAAUAAAAAUAUAAUUAGAAAAGAAACAAAAGAAAAGAAAUAAAAAAUAUAAAAAUAGAACAUGACAUGUGCGAACAUAAAAAAAUAAUAAAAAAAUAAAAAGGUGAAACUAAAAAGUAAACAUAGCAUGUCAUGAAAAUAAAAUAAAAUAAAAAACUAAACACAAAAAACAAAACAAUUAACUAGAGUAAAUAGAACAAGGGGAAAUAAAAGAUAUAAAAAAACAUUAAGGAAAAACAAUAAAAAGAAACAUAAAGACAAAACAAAAUAAAACAAACAAAAUAUUUAACUAUAGUAAUACAAAAUAAAUUAAGAAAUAAAAACAUAAAUCAAAGAAAACAUAAUUACAAAAAGAAAACAAAAAGAAAUAAAUAAAAGAAAAUCAAAAGAAAAAAUAGAACAUCACAAGUACAACACGAACAUCAAGAAAAAUAAAAAUAAAAAUAAAAAUAAAGAAAACAUAAAUGAAAAAUAAAACAUGAAAAGAAACGAAAGAUAGAAAAAGAAAAAAAGAAUAUGAAACAAAAAAGAGAAACUAAUGUAUAGGAGAUAAGGAAAAAAAGAAACGAAAAAGAAAACAAAUGAACUAAAAAGAAAAUAUACCAAAAAAUAAAAAGAAACAAGAAAAUAAAAGUAAAUGCCAACUAGUGGAAGAGGAAAAGAAAAGAAAACUAAAAAGAAAAAUUAAGAAGGAAAGAAAAUAAAAGAAAAAGAAAAACAAAAGAAAAUAGAAAAGAAAACAUACCUCGACCCGUCGGAAGCUCGCGCGGGAGUCGUGAGCGGGAAUUGUCGGACGGUGUCUCCCAUCCGAAUAUUCAGACGGGAAGAUUUCCGCAUUUUAGCAGCGUAGAUGUGAUUGAUGUAAUUUUAUGGCAUCGAUGGGAUAUAUCAGUUUAGCGGUAGUAGACCUAGAUUGGAGAUUUCAAUAAUAGGAUUUUGAAAGAUAAAAAAAAGUACUCUAAAGAAGAAUCGAAUAUGAUAGAUUCCUUAAAUGUCAUUACGACAAACUCUGGUACCUAAUCUUCUGUUGCUAAAAUAAAUAUUCUUUCAAUCCCUUAAUUUAAAAAGUAAUCCUCUCGGGAUGUAGAAUAAUGUUUAUUCAACCUCCGGAGUUAAAACUAAUAUGUACAUGUUUGCAAGGCAAAAGUUGCAUGAGAAUUUCGUAAAAAUCAGUUCAUUUUCAUGAAAAAGUGCACUAAACAAUUAAACAUGGAGGAAGUCCACGUUCCAAAGGGACUUAAUAAUCCUUCAAGCGCAUCUUCUGUGGCACACAUAUGAUUAUUUUGGAUUGACUUCUAAUCUCUUAUAUGCAACGGCAAUGGAACCAAAGAGGAUUGAACCCUUAGCUCUAUGGCAUUGACGAGAUAUCGUUUUUAACGGUGACAGGUCUCACUUAGAGAGGAUUUUUAAAAUUCUACCCUAGGUAUACAUGUCGUCUCUUAAAGCAUGACUCUUCCAUGACAUAUAUGCUAAACACCUAUGUUGUGCAUUUGGUUGGUGCGAUAAAUGAGAAUGGUAUGGAGCUUCUCUAUUCUUAAGGCUAUUUGAUUCAAGGGUAUUUUUUUGUUUACAGAGUAGAAGGAUGAAGCGGUUGGUUAUUUCUUGAGAUUUUAUUAUGAGCUCACUCCAUAAAAAUUGUGCUCGUCUCAAUAGAACGACACUCAUUCCAUCUUCCUACUGGAUACACGUCUUGAAGCGAGCGGGUACCGAGAACGGUAAGCGGCGACGACAGUAUGUGGCCUAAGGCUGGUGAGCACGUAGACCGAGUAAGUGAAUCCGAUGGUGGAGAUGCAUGUGGCCUAGGGUCAACGAGCACACAUCCCAUGUGAACGAAUCCGUCAACGGUGGCGCGUGGCCUGAGGAUGGGCAGAGAUGAAGGCGCUAACAUAGCGGCGACAGUGUCAUGGACGUGAGCAGGAGAAAGAAGCACAAGUUGGUAUGGCAUAUGGGCUCCACAGCAAACGAGGGUACCUAAUCUAGCAUCUUAUUCAUUUCAUUCCUCCAACCAAGUGCAAGAACAUAAGGCCUUUUUUAGUUUCCAAUUUUUUUUAAAAAAAUUUCUCGUCACAUCGAAUUGUUGAACGCAUACACGAAAUAUUAAAUAUAAAUAAAAAAUAACUAAUUUUAUAAUUACCUAUAAUUUACGAUACGAAUCUUUUGAAUCUAGUUAAUUCAUAGUUAGACAAUAAUUAUCAAAUACAAACGUAACCGAACCUAAAAUUUUUCACAAACCGCUCCAUCCUUCCAACCAAAUACUAGAAUAAGCUCUCAUCCCCAGAAAAUCAUUCCAUUCUACCAUGCUCUUCAACCAAAUACACACUACCCAAAGUUAAACCUUCUCACUUUAGCGUAGCCGCCCACAUACUUAGGCCUUGUUUAGCUCAAACAUUUUCACUUUAGAGUAGCGCCCACAUACUUUAGGCCUUGUUUAGCUCAAGAUUUUUUUGAGUUUGGUUAUUGUAGCAAUUCUAUUUAUAUUUAAUAAUUAUUGUCCAACCAUGGAUUAACUUGACUCAAAGGAUUCGUCUUGCAAAAUAAUUUUGUUUAAAUAUUAUCUAACUAUAGAUUAACUAAACUUAAAAAAAUUCAUCUCGUAAAUUAUAAAUAAAUUAUGCAAAUUAUUGCCACAAGAUUCGAUGUGACCUGAAAUCUUAUACUGCACGGUCAAGCGUCCACACAUCCCUACCGUCAUUUGCCCUUGCACAUGUGCGUGCGAGCUUGCAGGAGUAAGUGCCAUCGUGACACUGGCCUAAAUUGCGAGCGUGCGUCGUAACACUGGUCUAAAUGUGAGAGAAUCUGGAACAAGCACCAGAAAUCACAGCGUUAUCAUGAGCACUCAAGCCGUCAAGCGGUUGGAAGCAGGACAAAAACAUGUAGCCAACGUAAAUUAUCAUCUCCCCUAAAUUAACCACCCAUAUAAACGAUGGGUAAUAAGUUCGGUCGCAAUCAACAACCCAAACAAUCGCACGAACAUAACAAUUUCCAUACGGCGGCAGCAGAAGCAUGCGGAUGACAAAUUCCCAUGGAGCUGCAACCAACGCGCUCACAAUGUUCAGCAGGCCCGGCGCAGCCUGUCCACGACGCGCCGUCUAGCCUUGCUGCAUGGUGGCGCCGUCGCCGUGGCGCUCCAUGACCCGGCGCAUGGCCAGCGCCGCCGCCUCGCUGGCACGCAGCGUGCCACUGGCCAUAAUGGCCGCGAACUCCCUCAUCACCUCCUCCUGCACCUUCCCCCUAGCGCUCCCGAGCGGGUCAGCGGCAGGAGCAGGCGCUGGAGCAGAAGAGGGAGCUUCCUUCGAAGCCUUCUCCGCCGGCGCUGGCGCCGGCGCUUCUCGCUUGGCAGGAGCCGCAGCGGGAGCGGGCGCGGGCGCAGAGACGGAUGCGGGCGUGGGCACGAACUGCGUGGCCUGCGGCGCGGUGUUGGCCCGGAGCGUGGACUCGAGGUUCUGGAUCAUGGGCAUGAUGAGCGGGCCCAUGGGGCUGGACAUGACCUCAGCGGGGAGGUUGAGGAUGUAGUCGGGCACGCCGGCGCCGGUGCCGACGAGGAACUGCGCCACCUCGUGGCUGAAGUUGUUGCAGUUGUGGGUGAGGAGGCGGUACGUCUCGGCAGUGUACCGGGGCGCGAUGUCACGGAGGUAGUCCUCGAACACCUCGCGCGGGAUGUGCGUGACGCCCAGCUCCACCGUCCGCAGCGGCCGCCCGUACGGCGUCGUCCCGGCGGGCGACGACUGGAUCCCGCCGCCGAAGUAGUACUCGUUCCCGUACACCACCACGCCCGUGUGCCUGCCAGGUCCGAUUUGGUUUUGGUUAGGCGACGGCCGGCGCGAGGUGGAUCAGCUCAGAUCCGGGGAGGGGCUGAGGCUUACUCACCAGAUGGCCUCGAUGGGCUUGCCGAGGAAGGAGGUGGACAGCUGCCGCGCGAGGCCGUUGCUGAGGUCGUACACGUUCAGCGUCACCUUGUACCCCUCCUGCCGUGCGGCACCACCGCCAUUAACGAACGCAGCGUCAGAUCUAUCUACACUUCCUCCUCAAUAAAUCCAUGCAUCGGUCGAGCAAUUGAAAGCGUGGGGGCCCUUACCUCCGCCAUUAGUCGAUUCUCCGUGCAGAUGGGAUUGGAAUUUGAUGGAGGUCGCGAAUUCGCAGGGAGGACGAGGAAGAAGAGGAGAGAAAAUGCCUCGGAGAGUGAGUGGUCAAUACACGCAGCUACUCCUCCAAAACGCGUGGAUCUGGGCGAAGACGAGCGGGGGUUGGGGUUGGGGUUGGCUCGAUAAAUAAAGCGACGCGGUUAGGUUAGUUUAAUGGCGGAAGCUUCUGGAGCCGUCUGGUCCAAAUUAGAACGCGCGGGGGUAGGGGAAGCGAAGGAAAGGGAAGGGGAUUCGUUUCGCUUUCGCCGCUUGGGUUUCUUCCACCUUCCAGGAAGCUCGCGAGGCCGAGCUGCCGAGGGCCGAGUCCGAGGCGACUGGCGAGGGAGUUUGGGAGGCCUACGGCCUGCGGGGUUCUGGCGGCCGUCUGAUAGGGAUCGGGUGGCCGGAUGGGGACGGCCAGGGGCAGCGGGAGCUUUCGCGUUGGAUUCCAAGCGUGUGACGAGAUUCCAAGCGGGGGGAUCAUCUGGAACGCAGAGUCCUCCAAUCCAGCUGCUAGAUUUGUGCUCGUGUUUACGACUGCCAUGACGUGAUGCGUGACGCGCCUCAUCUAACUAUAUUCAAUUAUUCAUAUUAAACUUAUUUAGAGACAGGCCUGAUUGCUCGGCUGAAAGGUUAUGGCUUAAAAUAUUGUUGGCUAAUUUACUAUUGAAUGACUGGUAGAUUGAGCAGAUAAGUUCAAGUGAAUAUGCUCUCCAUCACAAUUAAGAGAAACGUGUUUGUCAAACUACCUCAACUUUGAUCAAAUUUAUAGUAAAUAGUAUUAGUAUUUAUGUCUUUAAAUAAAUUUAUUAUAAAAAUAUAUUCUAUAACUAAUUUAACGGUACUUACUUUGUCUCAAGAGUAUUAGUACCUUUUAAAAUAAUUUUAGUCAAAGUUGAUACUAUUUGACUUCUCGAUAUGUGAGAAUUACAUUCUUUUGUGGACGGAAGAAGUAAUUGCUACUACUCUUUUUAUAUAUAAAUCUAGUUAUUAAACCUAGAAAAGUUUAUCCAAUACGAAUCCUAUAUCAACUUUUUUUUUAAUAAGAUAGAGGAAGUACAAUUCAACUACUACUACUAUAUUUAUUAGAACAAGUCAACUAUAGAAAUAGUAUUUAUAUUUAUAUAUCACUAUAUAGAUAUAGUAUAAAAAUAUAUUCUACAUUUACUCCCUUCCUAAAAAACAAUGUAUAUAUUGGUUUUUGACUAGUCAACUACUUUUAAAAUUUAACUAAAAAUAUAAAAACAUAAUAUUUAUGACAUAUGCUAAGUAAAUAUAUUUAUAGAAAAUAUUGAUAUUAUUUUCUAUAUACCUAGUCAUAAUUUGUUUGACUAAUCAAGAAGCGAGAUGUCCAUUCUUUUGACGAAGGAAGUACUUGGUAUCACAAAAGUUAACUUUUUUCUAUUGAUUUGAUCUAAAAAUUAUUUGAUUUCAAAGAAAAGAAUUGCAUUCUUUUUAAGACGGAAGAGUAGAAUUGUUGUGCACUCCUGCAUGUCUCGCUCAGUUCUUCGACUCCACAUUGUGAUGCACGCAGCAUCUACCCCUAGUAUGAAGAAGACGUUGCACCAGUAGAUUUGAGCAAACAAAAUUGCCACUACAGAAUAGUUCAUGCCAUGCGUUCACAACUUCACAUAACCAUGGCUUUGCAUUGCACUGGCACAUCAGCACAUGAAAGGUGCUAUUUCUUCAGACCAAACAGCAUCAUGGAACAAUCUUACAAUUUGAGGCCCCCUUCGGAGGCACAAAAUAUAUAAGAAUUUUAUGAAACCAAUUCAAUUUCAUAGGAAAACCACAUGAUUCAUGAAAAAUCCCUUGUUCCACAGGAGCCCUAAACCUAGCGGAGAUGAGAAUGAUGUAUCUAAAAAACUUCGCUACGUACAAUAUUCAGGUAUACCCCACAUGCCACCGCGGAUCCAUAACAAGACCCACUGUAUUCAAGAACUUUGAUACUAUCAAACAAAGGCAAUGCGCUCAUUCAUUACACCAAUGAACAGCAACUAGUAUUGACAGCAAGCAUUCAUUUUUCUCAAGGACACGUUACAAUCAAGGUGGUUAAUUGGGAGUCCUAAAGAAUUUUAACACUGCCAAUCUAUAGAGUACCUUUCUAGCAAGAUAAGUCAAUUUGUGACAGCUUGAUUUACAAACUCAUGCCUACAAUAUACAAUUAUACAUCACUGUGAUCUCAUGGCACCUUCAGGGCACCGAAGGUACCAGUGCUACAAAUGGCUCCUACAUGGCUGAAAACAUGAGCAAAACUAUACACUCCUGGGAAUUUUGACCUCCAUCUUCAACCAAAAUUAGUCAUGGGACCGUGUAGUUUCAGCUUUGCAUAUGUCUACUUCAAAGAUUUAAGUGUACCGAAAUGGUGGGAAGAGUAAGAGUUGACCUGUUUUCACUGGCCUCCAAUUGAUCCUGUAUCUACCUUGCUGACUAAUUUCAUCAGCAAGUCAAAAUGGGAAAUCAAAUAUCAUUCCCAAACGAGCAACAAACCACUAUAUUAUUCAGCCCACAGCAUCUGCAGGAUGUCAAUAGAAUGUCAGGUGCAGUUUUCAUCAAUAAGGGAAAAAAUGGAAUAACAGUAAUGCAACAUACUUCAGAGAUACUGUUGAAGAAGGUUGGCAGAUGUAUUUUUCAGUCUGCAGCUCAUUCCCAAAUGGACAUCGCCAAAUACAUACCUGGAUUUACAAUCACUAAAUAGGGGGGCUUUGUUGCUGAAACUGAAAAAGGAAAGACUGGAAAACUGCGUGCAGACCUGUAUUCACAGUGUUCUGGAAAGCCACAUCGAGCCUUUCCAUAGUCCCAGUGGCAGUCGUCGUUCCUUAGCGGACCUCGGAAAGCUGUUUAUACACUCCUGUUAGUAACUUGAAAAGCCAUGAGUCAAACCAGGUAACGACAUUGCUCUUUGGGCUGUUCAAAUUGAAGCAUACCUUUCGUCACGAACUUUGAUUUUGAAUCAGGAUGCAUGUCGUGCCACAUUUCAAGCCAUAACUCACGCAUUAGUACAGGCGUCCUAACAAUAUUCCUGUGAUUUGCUGUUAAAUAACUUAUAUAUUAGUCUGUUCAAUAGAUGUCAAAAGAAAGUUAUGCGGCGAAUAAAGGUAGCACCACACACAAGAACAAGAUAUUCCUUAGUGCAAGUAAAACAAAGAUAUGCAUCAUGUGCUAAAAGGCAAAAGCACAAACUGAGGGGCUCCCUUGCAGCCUUGCAAUGCAGAACGACAGGUAUAAGUAAAAGUGCUACAGCUAAGCUAUACAAAAUGGUAUAAAAGAAAAAAAAUCUAGAUUCACACCUUUAUCAAGCUCCCAAACUGCUGUUCUCCAUCCCGGAAGACUUUCAGCAUCUUCAUAGUAGGUUAUGUACUUCACAUGCGGAGCCCUCGUCAUGUUUGGUAGUAUGUCCUGGCCAUGAUGGUGAUCGAUAUUCAUGGCUGUUUGCAGAUCAGAUCCAUCAUGUUCUGCCUUCAAGAGUAGAAGAGGAUAAUUAGGGAGGGUGGCUUAGUGUUGCGAUAUACUGCAAGAAACAGUCAAUAACACUUCAAUUAACCAAAACAUAGUAUACUAAUAUAGCCAGGUCACAAGUUCACCAUGGUGAGUCGCACCAAUAAGCAUAAAACAGAAUACCUGUGGAGCCCUCGUUAUGUUCACUUUUGCUCCAAGCCAAUUCUUGCACCAUGAGAGGGAGUUGUAGGAUACCUGCCAUGAAAUAGCUAUUCAGUUGCUUAAAUAAACUGGUUUAGCUUGAUACAAACUAAGAAUUUUAUUUGGUAAUACAUACUGUUCCAUCACCACUGGAGUUGUUAGGCUUUCCCGAAACAGAAUUACCUGAUCUGGUAAGAAUAUGUUACAAUUAUAACAAAAAGGAAAUGUAUAGAAGAACCGAGAGAACUAAUAAAGAUAAAUGUAUAGAAGAACUGAGGAACCACUAGGACAUUCUACACAAAACAGGUUGCACUUACAUAAUUACUCUCAGCAAAUUUGUCACUGUGUCAACCAUUAGAAUGGGUACGUGACUAAAAUGAGUACUAAAGACUUCUCAAAUCAAGUUAUACGAUACCUGCCUUGAAAGUAGGGAACCUUCAAACUCAUAAAUAAUAUCAGUUAUUAUCCAGUUGUCUGGAUAUGGUUUGCCACUUGGUGCAAAGUAAUAUCCUACCUGCUUGAUGAAGAAAGAAUCUAUUUUGAAACAACAUAAAGUGGGACAGUUCACUAUGAAAUAAACAUCACCAACCAUACCUCAGUCUUUGAAUCAAUCCCGUAAAUGCAAAAUACAUUCUUUAUUGGGGGUCUCUCCCAGGGUGUUAGAGGGUUCAGAACUGGAUCACCCUGAUAAUACCUGAGAUCAACUCAGACCAAAAUACAAGGCCUUAGACUCAGUCACUCUUACUUACCACCUAAUGAUUAAAAUACAAGGUCUAAUUAAUAAAUGCCAAAUAUCAUAUCAUAAGCAUACUAAAGCCUUAAACUUUGUAUUUUGUUUGAAAGAACAGAUGCAGGGAAUACAUUGUAGGAGCAAGUUGGACGCAUGCGCUUUUGAUCCCUUGCCUGUAGCAAUUUUGUAUAUGUGGCGUUUAGGAUUGUUUUCCUUAACCGCCUACCUAUAUAUGGUCACUUAGGAUUUUUUAUCGAACACACAAGAGAGCUGAAGAAAAAACAGGGUAAGAGCCCAUAUAACACACCCACACACAAGCCUUUGGAUUACAUACUCACCUUUAAUUUCAACAAGCACAGACCUCGACCCAAAGACCUAAGAAACCCCUGAUGUAGUGGACACGAGGUAAGAAAUACUAUGGGCACUGGCCAUACCCCAAAGGUGAAUUUCCUCCCUAGUGAGCAGGAGUCCUUCAGCAAGGUUGGGAAGCAUUCCAUAAAAAACGCAGCAGUUCCUAUGUUUCCAAAUGGACCAAGCCCCCAAGAUGACAAGGGAAUUCAGCCCUUUUCUAACCUCUCCAUCCACUUUAUUGCCUAUCCUUGUCCACCAAUCAUCGAAUAUGGUUACUCAGGAUUACUUCAUAGGUGGACAAAUUCCCUGUGAUCUGUUGUGAUUAUUUGUAAUCAUUGACUAAUCCCUUAGGAAUUACAUAAACAUAGCAUUCUGUGGCCUGUUCAGCCAAGUGCAGUAUCACUGCUCCUCCCUGUCAACUCUUGGUGUUGCCUAACCUUGACUAGCAAGACAGGGGGAGGAUACAUGCUCGGUUCUCUUGCUAAAAUUCCUGCUGGACAAGCUGAGCGGCCUUGCUUUUGAGGUACAACAAAGUUGGCUUCCCUCCUCAAGCAAAGACUUUCUUGCAAAUUAACAAGGGUAGUAAAAGGAAACAAGCAAGUUCAAAAAUGUAGACUUACUUCUCAAGCUGAUAAACAAGUGCCUUGCUCUGAGGGUCAUAAUCCUCUAUUGUUCUGAACAAAGUACCAUCUGACACUUCUCUGGCAGAAAAUGACAGAAGAGUUGGCUUUCCACACUCCAUACUGGAUGUUAUGUUCUCGGUUAUAUCCGUGAUGGAUGGGUAUGCCCCCAUACCUGUGAUGAAAAAGAGGAAAUGGAAAAACAUUUCAACCUGCUUAGUGGAACAGAAAUUCUUAAAUGUCACAUCAACAAAGAAAGCGAUUUUCGCAAAGAACCUCGAACUGAAGGAACCUCAAUAUUAACAAGGUCUGUGGGCCAUCCAGCGUAGUCUGAAAUAUAUUCGGCUUCAUCACAUUGUUGUCUGUGAGGACAACCUGCCUUUCCCUCAAAAAAAUGCUUCCAGUAGAUAUUAUCAGCUUUGCAGUGUUUUGAGAAUGGCAUAAGCCAUAGAGAAGAACCAAAUGCAUUAAACAUCAAUCGUGCUGUGCCCUGAAAACGUAAUUAUAGAUACGAAAUGUUAGAAACUAAUAAGAUGCAUAAAUGCAACAAGACUUACGGCAAGCUAUUUGGACAGUUGUGACAGUUCAAAGUUUGGACACAAUUGGACUUUUUAAUGGUAGUAAUAAAACAUAAAAUGACAUACUAUAUUCAGCGAAACAUUAAAUGGAAGGAUGAAACACAAUAAAUACUACCAUAACUCACAUGAACAUCUAGGAGCAUACUUCAUGACUACGAACCGCAGAUGCAGUGCAGACGAACAAGAAUAAAAUAUUACCAUGAUAUUUAGUGCAUGGGCCAGUAAAAAGAACUAUUUAAAGUUGAAAGUUGUGUAUACAAAAAGUCAAGAAUAAACCUAUGGGGCAUUGGGCAUCAAAAUUGUCAACUGCAAACUAUAAAGUCAAUACUAACUAUGUUGCAGGAAAAAAAUCUGAUAACAGAACAGGGCAUUCAAAUAUUCAAUGAUGACGGAUUAAUAAAUUAUUACAAUAAGAUGAAACUAAGAUUUAUAGAGGAUGACUGACCUCACUGACUGGAAGACCAAAAGUUGUUCCAGAAAGAGCACCUCUAACUGCUUCAGUAGAUCCAAGAAGAGGAGCGCCUAAAGCACAGAAAACUCAAAAAAUUGAGGAUAAGUGGAUAAAAUAAAUAUGGUAAUAAUAAAGUAGUAUUCAUUCUAGUUGACAUACCAACUGCAAAGUAUGCAUGUAUAUGUUCAUCAAGCCACUGGAUAUAGUGCUUGGGAGCAAUUUCCAGUUUCAACCAUUCCAAAAAGUAGCGAAACACAUUAUUUCCCAUCGAAUGAGCAAAUACCAAAGAUGGCCCUCCUCGGAGUUUCAAAGCAAUUUCAAAAGUUAACCUGCAUCAACAAGGAUGUAUGAGCAUCACAUACUACAUUCUCUCCUCAUGCAACAAUGAAUUGCCCUUACACCAUACAUCUAUGCUCAGAAUCUCAGCAUGAUUUGUUUGCCAUUGUUUUGGAAAAUCGUAUUUGCUUGAAUAAAACUAACCACAAGAUAUGACAAAACUAAAAUUCACAGGCCAAAGCAUAUCGUUUAGCAAUUGGUCACCUGCAGGCUGCAAACGCAUGAAAUGCAACACACCAUGUUUUACUUGUAACACUAACAAUUAUUCCAGAGAUUGGAUUGCCAACUUUUAAAUUGACGAAGCCAACAAAGACAGUAUCAUAUCACAUAUUCAGUUCAGAAGUUAUGGCAAUGCUGAUAUAAGAAAUGCAAGGUAACUAAAACAAUAUAAAUGACUGUAAUCUAGGUAUCUACUUUGGAAACACCAAAAGAUCUAGACCCUAUCAGCUGCAUGGAAUUUGGUUGCUUCAUAACAAGUUGAGGUAAGUGUUACAAACUUUAAUUUGUGAAAAUACAGAUCUCGCUCCUCAAGCAUUGAUGGGGGCAGUCUCCAAUCAUAUGGAACAGCAAUAAUUGCAUUAGCUUCAAUGCCAAACUCUACACACCAUUUGACCCAUUCUUUCCAUACUGAAGAGAGAGGACCUGAAACCUUGCCCAAUAAAAUGAUGUCAGUGUAAGGUGUUUUUCCCUUCCCUUUCUCUUCAUGAAUGAAUGAGAUGGGUGGCUUUAUAAUGCACUAACAAAUAUGAGUACUGAAUGCACCCUGUCUAACAGGACUAUUCCUGAAGUGUAAAACACAAUGCCAAUGUCAAAGCAAAUAUGGGGAGUUGCCAUUUGCAAAUUGAUGAACAUAGAUUAUUUUGAAAGAAAGAAACAUGUGAAUGAGCUACAGAUAACCGUACUUGCACAAAUUAUUCCACAUUCUUCAGCUCGCACAUGAACAAAGAACAAACAUGAUUCUUUCUUGAUAAUACAUUGUUGUACCACCUAUGGCAUUAGUCUGGUGAUCUCGUGUAAAAAAACACAUUCUUUUUGUUAUCGUUUCAGCCACUUCAGCUCAAAACUUGCAAAAAUGUUGUCUAGAAUGAACUUCUUUUCACUCAGCAUUAAGUAACCUGACUUAUGAUAUAAGCUACAAAUUAUCAUGUAACAGAUAUGUAACUCAUGGCUAGAACUUGCGAGGUCAGUGCUAAGAAAAGAGAGUAAGCCAUAAGUUUACCUGUAAUAUAACCAGGGUCCAACUCUGUAAUUGCAGAAAGACCACUAUCAGGCCUUGACUUGCAUUCCGGAUGGUCUGUCUGAUUAUAGGGUUCAAGCAGCAUGCAUUUAAGCCAGCAAUUCACUGCAGAGAAAAGCUGCAGCAAACUGGACGUAUGAAAACCAGUAGAUCUGGAUACUUAAGCAUAGAAAUGGAGCAAAUUUAGCCUCUAUAGGCCGCACAUGUUUUCCAUUUUAGAUAAUGCAAUCGUUGCUAAGCCUUACUCUGGCCUAGUUUGGGACGAACAAGGCAUUGUCAUGUGAUGACAAACACAUGGCUAUUCAUGGAGGCAUACUGGCAUUACAGACAGUCAAGCAGUGAAUUGUUCCUAGCAAAAACUGACCAAAGCUGCUCAAGUAGUUGGUGGCUUUGCACCUACUGGAGUACCCGACAAACCAAAGGUGUUCUAAAGUUAGUUGUUUCUGUUGGGUAUCCCUUUUCAUGGCACUCACAUCCAGAGAUAAGAUACUCCGGUCCAGUACAAGUUUAUCCCAACAAAAACUGCUCCAGUCCCCAAAUCUAUUAAUAGAUAGAUGAUUCACUAAAAAGGGAAAAAGAAGUAUGGAGACCUGACAAUUAUGUAUGCUGCUCACAUCCCUAAAGCGUAUGAGAGCAUAUAUAAUCUAUGCGAAGCUAACAAACAGCUAAAGCAAAACCGAUUAAGAGAGCCAAAUGGCCACGCUACUAAUCCUGGAACGACAGCAGUAACGAGCAGCACUAGCAGAGCAGUAAUCAGAAAUAUCAUAUCACUACUAGAUGGGCAGGCGAGGCGAGGCGAGGUGAUGCAGCUCAGUGGUUUGGAACCUUGGCGGUGUCGAGCCAGACGGAAUCAAGGGGGUUGAAGUCGAAGGGCGAGUAGGGGCAGUCGAGGACCGACCACGCGCGCAGCUGCGUGGACGCGAACCCCGGGAUGAUGAUCCCCGAGAGCUUCCGGUAAUCGAACUCCGCGCCGCCGUCGGCCCCGGCCGCCAGCGCCACCGUCGCCAGCAGCGCAGCCGCGACGGCGAGGUCGCCGCGUCGGCGCUGCCGCGACGGCAUCACGAGCCGGGUCGAUUCGUUCGCUGCUCCGGACCGGUCCCUCCCUCGGGAUGGCUCGCGUCGCGUCCGCGCACGGGGAUGUGGAGUGGAAAAGGCGAGGCCGAGGCGGGGCGAUCUGGGCCGUUCGUUCUGUCGGAAGACAGACAGUUGGGGGGAUCUCUCUAUCGGCUUCGCUGUUCGCUCACGCCGUGGGGCCCCAACUCCGGGGAGCGUGUCGAAUUUGGUUGGAGACGUGGUGGUCAUCUGUGCCGUCCGCUCUCGAAGGAUGGCCGUGAUCGUCGUCUUCCCCAGGCGGAAGGGACGGAGGAUGGUCAAAGCUACCACCAGUACCAGCUAGGGGGACGAGAACUGGCAGUUCGGGCAAGCCACGUGCGCGGUGUGUGUCCGUCCCGCCCGUGCGCUCUGAAUCUGGGAGCGCUCCGUUGCGAACCAACGGUUUGGAUUUUACCAGGGCCGGCAGGUAAGGGCUCAGUCACAGACAAGUCAGUCGUUGCCGCCUUGCCGGGCCUGGCCCAACUGUAAUUGGGCCGGCCGUGAACCGGAAUUCACCCUGGUAUGGACCAUGGCGUCAAAGAUGAAAUUUUCAUUUCAAUCGUUUUUUUUUUGCCUUCUUCCUUGAAAAAAAAGGCAUUUUCAAUCGUCUGCCAGAGUAUUUUUUUUUCUUCAUCAUAAUAAUAGGAAUAGGAAUGUUACGCAUUUCCAGCAGAAGAAAGCAACACAGAACAACCACGCACGCAUUAUGCCACCAGUAGUAGAUGAGCGUCACAGACAAGCCAAGCCAUGCACACGAGAAUCGUAGUCCGUCCACCCAAUUCAAUAUUCCUUGAUGGUCACUUGCUGGCGCCACCCGCGGUGUGAUGGCGGUCGUAGGGGCGGAAGCCGUGCGCGAGCGCGGCGCGCCAUGCCUUGUCGACGCCGGUGACCCUGGCGCCGCACUCGUGGUCGUCCCAGCCCUGGAGCGCGUGCACGAUGCCCGCCGCGCGCCACGCGCUCAUCACCCUCCGCGGCAGCCAGUUCUGCAAUGUGCAUGCGACAGACAACCCGUCAGCGCAUUCGCGAUCAGGCAGGCAAAAGACGAUGUGUCACGUACAGUACCUCGCAGGCGUGGAGGUUCUCGAAGGCGUCCGGGACAACCAGCGCCGGCGUGCUGUGGUAGACGCAGUCGCCGCGGACGGCGUCGGGAGGGAACUGCGAGUAGGGCACGAAGUGGACGCCGCCCUGCGCCCUCCUCUGCUCCUCGUCCGUCAGCUUGUCGCCGACGAGCCAGACCUUGCUGCUGCUGCUGCGGCUGCGGCUCCAGUCAGAAAGGAGAAGAAGAUGCUUGUGCGUCUCUGGGCGCACCUCCUGCUUCAGAGACUCGUACAGGUCCCUGUCCACCAUCUGAACCUGCAAGCGUCAUUUACACCAAAAAUUAAUUAGAGGGUUCUCGUUCAUAAACAAAUCCGACAGCAGGAUAAUCCAACAACGUUUGUGAUGGCAGCAGUGUUAACACAAUGCAUGGCAACAACAGGAGGCAGGUAUGUAGUACCUGAAUCCCGCGUUCGCAGAGCGCCGACGCCAGCACGGCCGCCAUCUUGGCGCCGGCGUCUCCCAGGAGGAGCACGUCGGCGGUGCCCCGAGGGAUCAUGUGCAGCACGGCGGCGGCGGCCAGGCUGGUGCCGUCGACGAUCUUGGUCCUCAGGUCAGGUUUCCUGAUGACGUACAGCUCGCCGUUCUUGUUCAGCUCGCUUCCCUGCAGGCAAGCUGGCGCUGUCAGAGCCCUUCAUCACUCAUCUUCUCCCCUUUUUUUUGUCUUUUAUUUACAGCGCGGUGAAAACUUGACUCGAAGCUACGACGGUAGCGGUGAAAAAUUUUCAAUUCGAAUUCAGAGGAGUGGUUGGCAUGGGUUCAAUGCAGCCUGCCUGGCACGCUGCGAUUUUUUAAUACACACACAGCCUGACCCCUGCUGCGACGUGCAGACAUUACUACUGGCAGCACGCACGGGGAGGCAUUGCAUGCAAAAAGUCUCCGGCGGUGCACAUGCACAUGCACGGCACGGGGACGGGGGUGCCGGAGACGCACGGGGAGACCGGAGAGGAGUUUGGUCGACUACCAAGAAACAAAAAUUGAAGGAGCUGCAGGACGACAGAACAGUGAAGAUGGGCGGGUGGUGGACCUGGUUCAGUAGACCCAGCGUGAGUACUCUGGCGCCACUUGCCUCCGCGUCUGCCACCGCCUUCUCCACCAGCCGCCCCACUGCAUGCAAACCUUGCUUCGACUCAUACUGCAUUGCAUCGCAUUGCAUUGCAUCGCAUUGCAUCCAAAUAAAAAAAAUGUUCAACCCUCAAAAUUCAAGAAGAACACUAUAAAUCAUUUUCUAAAUAAAUCUCACACACACACACACACGUAGUACCUGAGAGGUGUAUGUUGGCACGACCCACGUCUCGAGGUUGAGCUUGUGGAGCCUGUUGGCCUCAGACCUGAAGGCGGUGGCGGUCCGGCCAAGGAGCGCGGCCACCGGGCGCGCGGCAGCCGCCAGGACGCUGGUGCAGCCGCGGGUCGAAGACGCGAGCGGCGCCGGCGCGGCGGCGAGGGAGGCGAAGCCGAGGCGGAGGCGGAGGAGGGACGCCGGCGUGGUGAGGUGCGUGAGGUGGACGACGUCGGGCGCCUCCUCCUGCUCCUCGUUCCGGCAUUGCAUGAGCUUGCGCUCGUACAGGUCGUCGCUGGACUUGUCGGCGGUGCCGUAGAGGUGGUCGUAGAGCGGCAUGAAGAGCGAGUAGUUUGUGCGGAACUGCGUGUGGUGCAGCGAGUGGAACGACGGCGUGUACACCAGGUAUUUGAGCGGAGGGAAGACGUCGAAGAGCAGCUUGGGCACGACCUCGAAGUUGCAGUGGCCGAGGUAGUUCAUGAAGUCGAUGUAGAUGAGGUAGCCGUUUGCUACAGCCACGGAGGCAGUGCCGGUGCCCACCAUGGUGAGCAGCGGGAUGGCGAACAGGGUGAAGUACACCAACUCCUCCGCGAACGGGUGGAUCACCGCUGCAUACAGAUAUGCAUGCAUGCAAAAAAAAAAAUCUCAUUUUAUAUGUACAUGGAUGCAGCUAGCUAGCAAAGAUGCAUGCGUACAUGUGAUGGGCUCGGUGACGAUGGAGGCGUGGUGGUGCGAGUGGUAGCGGGAGUAGAGGUAGUGGUGGUGGAGGGCGCGGUGGAGCCAGUAGUAGAGGAACUCCACGGGGCCGGCGUGGAGGAGGGAGACCAUUACCAGACCCUUGGAGUUCCACCACGGCAAAGACUGCG